rnacentral:lncRNA from 1 species
UCCGAUCUUGUCUCCUACGAACAAUGAGACCCUCUUCCUGAGAGUCGGGUUUAACCACAAGAUGUUUCAUAUUAUCAUACGAGGUUAAAGAAUCAUAAACCACAUCAAUUGUGAGAGACUGGUGGCUAUAUAAAAUCAUGUCUCUAAAGGUGGAAUAAGACGGGGGCAAUGAACAAAGUAGAAUCAACCCUAGAUCUUCCUUAUCAUACUAAACCUCCAUGGCCUCCAAGUUUGAGAGAAUUUCUUUAAACACUGUUAAGUGUUCGUGUACAGGCGCACCUUUCUCCAAACAAUGAGCAUAAAGACGCUGUUUCAUAUGCAACUUGCUUGUUAGAGUUUUCGACAUACAUAUUUGUUCUAACCUCUUCCAUAAUGCAGCGGCAGUUUUCUCUUUCAUCACAUCCUGCAAAAUUUCGUUGGACAAAUGCAGGUGUAAUGGUGUUAACGCCUUUCGAUCCUUACGCUUCUUCUCUUCAUCUGUUAAUGUCGAAGGCAUCUUAUCUAUCCCUAGCAGGGCAUCCUCCAGAUCCAUCUGCACAAGAACUACUUACAUCUUAAUCUGCCACAAUGCAAAUCUAGUAUUGUGAUCCAAUAGCGGAAUUUCAUACUUCAAAUAUGCCAUUACUAUGAUUGAGAUGAACAACCCGAAAGCUCUGAUACCAAUUUGUGAAAAAAAAAUAAAAAUAAAGAACACACAAAUUUUACAUGGAAACCCUUUCGGGAAAAAACCACGAGCAGAGGAGAAGAAAAUUUACUAUAUCGAAAAAUUGAAUUCAAUACAAGAGGAAUAGACUAUGUCUAUUUAUAGGCUUGUAAAGCCAUAUUCUAGUAGGAUUGAAACACCUUAUCCUAAUCAAUAUAAAAUAGAUGGAGUUUAAUAAGGUUUAAAAACCUUAUUCUAAAAUAAAAUAAAAUAAAAUAAAAGAAGUCUACUUCUAUAUGGAUUUUACUUUUAUUUUAUUUUCCAUCGUAUUUUAUUAAAUAAGAAUUCGAGUUAUUUAAUUCUAACAUUUACUUUGUUUUAUAUUCACAAUUUACACUAAUUUAAUAUAUAUAUAUAUUGUUUACUACAGUUGGGAUGCAUGUACAUAAGUUUUUAAAUUAAGAAUUUUUAAUAUAUUGGGUCAUACUACAAACAUUGUAAAUUUUGAAGGAUUUAAAUGAAAAUUUAAUAAACUAAUGUUGUACAUGGUUUGUGUCUUUUAUAGUGAAAAUAAAUUUAGUAAAUUUAAAAUUAUAAUAAUGCCUAUCUCAAAAGCCAAAUAAAUUUACAAAUUUUUAAUUUUAAAUAUAACAUAGAUCAAUAAAUAAAUAAAUAAGGCAUAGUUUUCUUUUCCUUUUUUCAGCGUGCUCAAAAUCAAAAUUGUGGUGGUGUUAUUGAGGGGGAGGUGCAUGUGCUGUAGGGGCGUUUAUGAGAUUUUUCCUUAGCUUUUCUAAUCACGUUAUUUCUUAGUUUUUUUUAUUGAAACUUUUAUGACUUUUAUUUAUUUUAUUUUUGGAGGAAUGUACUUAUUUGCUACUUUUUGUAUAGAGGAUACUAUUGAUGAUUUUAUGGAUGAUGGUUAUUGUAUUCUUCAAACUCCACAUUACUGGUUGAAUAACUUAAUUAAUUUCCAAAGUUAAGUUUUUGAAAUUAAGGGAAUACCCUUAGAGGGAGUAAUGUUUAUUUGAUGAAAUUGUAUGAAUAAAUUUUUGAAAAAUAUGGAAUGAUUAAGAUGUGCUUCUUCUCUAUUCCGACACACAACGAUUUUGCAUAUUUAGGAGAUUGUCAAUUUAUUGAACUGAGAUGAUGGAUUAUAUCUAGCAUAUCAAUAAACACCAUAUAUCACUUAAAAAAAUAUAUUUGGAGAAUCAGAUCGAAUCUAUUUAAUCCCUUAGAUAAAAAAAGUUGAAUCAUGUUAGGACGUUGAAGACUUAGCUACCAACAAUCCUUAUUUACCUUUAUUGUUAUUAUUAUAUCGUAUUAAGCUUGUGUGGUUGUUAUUUUGUAGGAUUAUGAUAGAUCUUUAUUAUGUUAGUAAGUGAUACGAUCCGGCCCGGUUAAUGAAUCCGAGUCGUUGUUGUGCCCGAUCGUGAAUUGGAGUAAUUUGAAAGCUUUACAAAAUAGACUAGAAGAAAAGGAAUUAUUUAGGCUCAAUAAAGUUUUGUUGGUUUAGGAAAUGAAACAUAAAUCAAUGGAUGAAGUUUGGGCUAAGUAUUCAAAAGCCGAACUAACACAAUAAGAGUGUGUUAACCCGUAACUUAGGAGAAUGCUUAGGUUGGUAGGGUGUUGAUGGAAGGUUUGUUAAGUGGAUAGAAACUUCGACCCGCUAUAAAAAAUGAUAGGAACCUCAGUACGAAUCGAACGCCACACUUUUGGGAUUAAAGUGAUAAGUUCGGAUAGAAAGACGGGUUGACGCCACAAGGGUUACUUGAUAAGUCAGACGAGUCUUUGGAGAACAAUGAGAGUUGAAAACAAACUCACAAAGUAAACAAAUUUCAUAUAAAGUUUAAAAGUAUAUUGUCUAACCUUUUACAUGUUUUCAAGCCAACUAUUUAUACUAAAACUAGGACAUGAAUAGCCAAUUCUGGCCAUUAAUAAGUAACAUGAAUCAGCCCAUGAACCGAUUUUAAUGAUAUAUGUUCAUCCAUUGAAUGAAAUUUAAGUCACAUUCGUCCCCCCCUUGCCAUCCAUAGAUGCAUCCUUAGUCAUGAAGCAAAUGUUUGUUCAUCAUGGGUAAUAAAUUUGACUUCUAGAAUCUGCCCAUUCAUCCCUUCAAUUUGGAUGGUGCUUUUAAGGCUCCUUUGUUUCCCACGAAAAAGGCUCCUAGGUGAGCUCAAACGGCAGCUUAAAUGCAGGUUUUAAUUUGCUGCUCAUGCAUUCUCUUAAUUGAGACGGCACAUUAAUGGCUCUAUUGAAGGGACCGAAAUAGCACAUGGAGAAGAGGGAUUUUAAUGCCGUCCCAUGCAUAGGGAGAAGAAUGCAGCAACCAAUUUAAUGUCGUCCAAGCAUGCAUCAAAAUUCAAGAGCCAUUGAUCUUCACGAAAAGGCUCAUAGGAAAUAGGAAUCAGCAGCCCUUAAUGAGUCCUUUGCUAUGCACGAAAAUGGAUGUAUAGAAACACAAUGCAUGCUUCCUUUAAUGCCGUUCAUGCAUACUUCUGCAUAAUAAAUUGUUCUUUAAAUUCGUCCCCAUAUCCAUGCACCUGCACACAUUUAAAUCAGCCAUUAACUCAAGUUUAAGGCAAAACAAAAUUGGGUCAACAAGGCAUAUUAAAUUCGGCUGUUUAGGAAAAAUACAGCAGCCAACUUCCCUUUAAAUGCCGUUCCAUGCAUGGGAACAUCUCCUUAAAUGCAUGUUUCCUUUGCCAUUUAGCCGAAUUCAAUGACCUGCAGACACAAAAUAAAUUCGGUCAAAUAAUUCAUGCACAUUACAAUUAAAUUCGGCAGCCACAAGACACCUUAAAGUGGUUCAUUAAUUCGGCUGAAUUAAGUCAACAAUUAGACAUAUUAAAUUCGGCACUUUAAAGCACUAAAGACACAUUAAACAACAGCAUUAAAUCCGUCCAGACACAUUAAAAGCUGUACUAAAUAGAACACAUUUAAAUAGUCUUAAGACAAAUUUAAAGCAUGCAUUAAAACCAAUAAAACAUAUUUAAAAUGUCCAGAUUUCUUAAUUAAAUACUUAGUAAUUAUUUAAGCUAAAAUAACUAACUUAACUAAUUAAUUUAUUCCAGCAAAUUAAAUUAAAUGAGCUAGUGAGCUAAUAACGAGCUUAAUGAGCUGAAUUGAGCUCGAAUGAGCUGAACCAAAAAUGUUUCCGGGGCGGGGUCGUAUCAGUAAGUCUCAAAAACUUGUAUAUUUAAGAUACUUGUAUAAGUUAAUGUACUUAUUAUUGAGAGCACUCAUUUAUUCAAGUGAGGAAACAUUAUUUGUGAUUGAAAAACUUUUGUGUUGUGAUUUUACAAACUAAAUUAUUAGGAGGAAUUUAGUGGUGAAAGAGCUUGUCUUCAAAGGUGCAAGAGUGAGAAAUCUCAACUGGGAGUUGUAUUUAUUUGAAGAUAAUGAAUUAUUCUACUAAGCUAACGUAGGGAUGAUGAAUUGCAUAAACAAAUUUUAUCAUCUUCUCUUUUAUUUUGUAGUGUUGUAGUGCUAAUUGUUUUUUUUAUUAAAUACAUUACCUGUUUCUAAACUUAAAUCACACUAAGCUAACUUUAUAUUUUUUUCUCAUUAUUUAAUCUCUUUUCGUCUUAAACACACGUGGGUACCAAUUCAUUAAUAAACCAUUUUUAUGUGUUUAAGAAUCGUUAUAGGCUUUACACUCAAAACAGCUUAAUCUACACCAUUCAAUUAGAGUAAUGUUUACCACCGCUGGAAAAUUGAAAUGCUAAGCAGCAUCGAAGAAGAGAAAUAAUUGUAUAAUUAUGCUAGAAAAGUACUAUUUUAUUUUGAAUAAAUAACAAUAAUGGGAACGAUGAUGACUAGGAAAAAUAUAUUUUUAUUUCGUACUUGAGGGUUGGCUUGGAGCAGUGUAAAUUGGUUCGUUCCCACGGCCCAAACGUGUUUGGCAGGACUACAACAGUGUCAAUCCUUAGCUGUCGGACACUUGUUAAUGUGAUGGAGCCUCUUGGGCCUCGGGCUUUAAGGCUUCUAAUAAUGGAUUGUAUAACACAAAUACGGGGAAAAAGAAUUAAAAGAAUGUUUUUAAAUAAAAUUCUCGACAUUUUGGAACUAGUUCAGUAAAUUAAUUUCCCCUUGUGUUAGUUUAGUGUAUGUAUAUGUAUUUUCUUUAGGGUUAUUGGUAUAAAAAUCCCUGAUGCAUUGGCAAAUUGAUAAUACCAAGAGCUAAAAUUAUAGCAAAUCUGAAGAGAAAAACAUAGUGAUGCUGUCGAUUAUGCUUCAAACACUAUCAAAAAGCCAAGUUUAUGUACCGCUUUACAUUCAUAUAUAUGCAUAAAAUCUUUCGGUUUUGCGCAGAAUGAUCCGAGCUUAUCUUGCACCUUGUCCCUCAACACAGUACAAAAGAGCCCACCAUUUUGCCCACACAAAACUAAACUAGUCCUAAUAUUUAAGGUAUUCAAUCCCUUCGAUAAUUGAUUUCAUCUGCUUCUGAACUUUUCUUCACCCCUUCCAACUUUUGCCCAUGUGAGAAACCAAGCAUCCUCGAGGCCCUUUUUUCCCCUAUCUUUUGGUCUUCCUGUAGACAAGACAACGACAAUAUUAAUAGUAUUCCAAGUGACUUGACUUGCUAUAUUGGUGAUCUAAAAGGUCAGCAAAAUUUUGGGUUUUGGAAUUUAGACUAUCAGGCCUCUCUGGGAGCGUAGUUGUGGGGCAUUUUAAGGUGUACUGGGGUUCAGACACAACUUGAGGUCAUUAUAUUUGAAUAAAUAUUAAUGACAAUGUAGUCUUUGGCAACUCAUCAUCACAGAUUGGCAUCAUUGGGAGUCCUGUUCCUGUGAUUUGAGCUGCUUCAUGCGCCUCUUCAGCAUUCAACCUUCUCAAAUUGGAUUCUACCAAAAAAGUGAGCUCAUGACUUGAAGACAAAAGCCUUAGUUCGGUGACAACGCAACCAAACAUUCGCCAAAGAAAUGUCAAAAGAACAUGGCUGUGGAGAGCUAGAGUGUGGGUAUUUCAAAAUGGUAGGCCAACUAUCGAAGAUAAAAAUUGAAGUGGCCCUUCAGAGUCACAUCCUGUUGGAGUUGUCCUGAGGCGGGCCUAACAGAUCCUCGACUGGUACGAACCAUGCAACAUAAUUAGAAUUCAUAUAAAAUUACAUUUAUUCUAUUUAUAUUAAUUAGAAUAAGAUUUUUCUUUACUCGUGAUUUUUUUUCAAAUGAGUUUCCACUUAAAAUCUCGUGUAUUUUAUUUUUCUUUUUCUUUUUUGUUUUAUUUUGUAAUCGUUCUAUAUUACUCUUAUUGAUGUUAAUUUUAACACAUCUCAAUAUCAAGCCGAAGCUAGCUAGCUCUUUGAACGUCUGCAAGCGAAUGCUGUAGCUGUGUCGACCACCGCUGUAUUUCGCCAUGUGCCAAAAAUCAUCGACACGGUGUGCUAAAACUUUGGGUUUUUUUUUUCCAGCGGCGCCGAUUUCGUAUGGCUUGGUUGUCCUAAAAGAAUAAAUAAAGUUUGCAAUCAUUGUAAUCAACAACAUGAUGUAGUAUAUUUGUAAAGUGAUAAGAACCUAUCAAAUGUUUUCAUAUGCAUUAUUUUGAGACACGCCAUAUGAUAACUUUUUUUUUUAUUGAAUAAUUGGUUGACGGGGCAAAACCUUUUUUCAUUGCAUGCAGCAAAUCAUUCAUGGAAUCGCUGACUGGUUUAUGGCGUAUGGUUGAAGGUGGGACAGGGACAGUUGAUUCAUGUCUCCGACUUUCAAUCUUGUGUGGAGUACCGCUGCAAUAGCCAUGCAUGCUACUGGGAAUGCUUUGUUUGGACGUGUCAUAACGAUUCAGUCCAAGUUAAGCAGCUCUGGUUCAGUGGAUGCAGACCCCUCUAACCUCUUAAUCCAUUGUUUUCACUCGACAAUAAUAGCAUUUUCUGUUAACUUCUUUGUAAUCAACCUAACAUUUUUGUCAUGAAAUGGACUAAUUUAUAGUACAAAAUCUGACCCUCCACAGGCAAAAGAUAUGUGUCGAUAUUAAGUACCGCAAAUUAUGCAAAGAUAUGACUUUUAGAAAAGAAGACAAUUUGUACCAACAGAUUAUUAUUGGGUUUCAAAGCAGAAAUAUUGAAUAAAAAUCAGUAGCAAAGUUGAAGCAACUAGUUACCCUAUAAUUUCCAGAUUUAGGAUCCAAUAUUAUGUAUAUAUAUACGAGGAUCAUACUUUCUAUCAUACUGGAACAUAAGAAAUGAUUUUCCAAACGAUAUAUACUCCUGUUUUGAUCAAGAGAAUCUCCUUGUACUGCUCUCAUUGACAUGAUAUGAUUUUCUUUAAAUUUAAAUAUGCCCGGAUACAAAUAUUAGAUUUAUAAACAGGAUCUUUUAUCCUACCUUGUAGACAUGGAAUUGAUAUCCAUGAUUGAAUGUUGGACUGCUUUUGUUCAUUGUCAUAUGGAAUACUUCUCUUAUAUGGUGGGUUUUACAAUGUCCAUUUGGUCCCAACCUUACACACACUUAAUAUUAAAAUAUUAUAAAUAUUAGUUUAUUUUAAUUAGUUCAUAUAAUUAUAAUUAUAUUUAAUAGAUUAUAUUCAAUAAAUCUAAACAUUUACAAUUUUUAAUUUUUUUAAACUGAAGCAGCUUUUAUACAAAAAUAUGUAUGUAUAUAAAUUAUAUGAAUCACCUUUUAAACAUAAGAAAUAAUGAAUCCACUCUAAUAUCAUUUGAUUAUUCUUAUUGUGUGAACAAAGUAAAAAUAUUACCAAUACUUUAUCUUAACUUAAAUGGAGUGAUGAUUAAAACUUUUAGGUUUGGCAUGGAUUCGAAUCGUGUUAUCUUAUCUCCACCCCUAAUAUUGUAUAAAAAAACAUCAUUAAUACCCUUGAAUUUAACAUUACAGUUUAAUUGUAGAUUCAAAGGUUUUCAUCCAUAUCAUCCGGUCCACACUAAAUCUGUUUAUGGGUUGGGUUAUCCGCCCGAAAUUUGGGAGGGUUUGGGUAAAGAUAUUAUACUCAAAAAACGGACUUUGGAAAAAAAAUUAGGCUCGUUUAAAAUAUGGGCUAGGCUCAAGUUUCAAUAUUUAAGGCCCGACCUGGCCUAACCUAUUUUUAAGUUUAUAAUACUUUAUAUUAUACUAUUUUUAUAUAUUAUGUAAUUUAGAACACAUUGAAAAAAUGGACCCAUACUAAAUAUAUAAUACUAUACUAAUGUAAACAUUAAAAUAAUAUUAAGAUUACUAUAUAAAAAUUUCAAUAAAUAAAAAAAUGUAUAAAAUUAUUAAAUAUUAAAAUAAUAUAAUAUAAAUAUUUUUAUUAUUUUAUUAACUUUAAUAAUAUAUAAAAUACAACCAAAAUGUCCACCAACCAUCCCAUAUUAACAAAAUGACCAAUUUACCCUUCAAACCCUUUAACAAACAUUAACCAUGUAUUUUAUUUAAUAAAAGCAAUAUCGAUUUAUUUUUACAAGUUUUACGAUUUAGUCUUUUUCCCUUAAUUUAGUAUCCAACUUCAAAAUUACUGAACUAAAUUUUAAUCCACUUCUAUAAUAGCUCCAUAGACAUUCAACAUUAAUAUUUACGAGCUCGGUUUAUGAAAACGAGGUCUCUAUACCUCAUUUUCCAAAACCAAUAACUUCUGUUACGCACCACUUGUACCUUAACUAACUAACCAAUUAACAAAAAUUAUCAUAUCAAAAUUCAAUAAAAAACUAUAAUAAGCUCGUAAACAAUAUUAAAUAAUAUUCACCGACUUGAUCAUCGGAAAACAGAGUUCCAAAAUAGCCAUUUCCACUACCAUUAAAAAAUGGGUUGAUACAAUCAAGUAAAGAUUUUUUUUAAAACUUCAACACUUUUAUCAAUAGUCAUCUUAUCGCCAAAAACCUUGUAGGAUGCUAUUCUAGCAAACAAUUUUUUGCCUUGUAUUUUAGAAUCGAAAAUUCCAAAAUAAUCUUUAAGCUAUUUUAAUUCUAUUAAAGUUCCGACGGCAAUCAAAGCACAUGCAAUGCCAUGACCAUUAAAGUUUUCUGCAAAAUUAAAAUCAAUCAAUCAAUCAUAUCGCUUUAGUUAAAACCUUUCCUUUGGUGUAAUUUUCAAUAGCCGCAAUCUUUCUGCAUUAAAUAUAAAUUUAAAUCGUCAUUUUUAUUAUAAAAUCAAAUUAGUUAUAACUGAAUUAAAAUACUUACAUUCUAAAAUGAAUAUUCAAGUGCUUGGCUUCCAAAAUAGGAAUAUGUUUAUCUUCAAAACAUUCAUGAUUCACAUUUAUACAUGUAUCAAUAAUCUUUCUGGAUUCACAUUUAUAUAUGUGUCUAUGUCUUGUGAAAUGUGUUGAAUGAUGGUUGUGUGAUGCUUAAUGGUAAUAGGCAUUAUGAGUAUCAAAUGGUUGAUUUGUGUAUAUUGAUUUGCUUGUGAAAUUAGGCUAAAUGAUGCAUAUUUUGACUUUGUUUCGAAAUGUUUAGUCUGUCAGCAAGUAAAAGCCAAGCAUCAGGUACCUUCUGGAUUACUUCAGCGGAUCAUGAUACCUGAAUGGAAGUGGGACAGAGUUAUGAUGGAUUUUGUAUCUGGUUUGCCGUUGUCAUUGAGCAAGAAAGAUGCAAUCUGGGUUAUUGUGGAUAGAGUGACUAAAUCGGCUCAUUUUGUAUCGGUUCAUACAGAUUACUCGCUUGAUAAGCUAGCUGAAUUGUAUGUUUCUCAGAUUGUGAGAUUAUAUGGAGUACCUAUUUCUAUUGUUUCGGACAGAGAUCUGAGGUUUACAUCGCGCUUUUGGAAGAAAUUGCAAGAUGCACUAGGUAUGAAACUACACUUUAGUACUGCAUUUCUCCCGCAGACGGAUGGUCAAUCUGAGCGGAUCAUUCAGAUUCUCAAGGAUAUGUUGAGAUGUUGUAUUCUUGAGUUUGAAGUUACGUGGGAACGAUACUUGCCACUGAUUGAAUUUGCGUACAAUAAUAGCUUUCAAUCAAGUAUCAAAAUGGCUCCUUAUGAAGCUUUAUACGGUUGUAAAUGUCGAACACCGUUAUACUGGACAAAACUUAGUGAGAUUAAGAUCCACAAGGUUGGUUUGGUCAGAGAAACAGAAGAAAAAGUAAAAGUGAUUCGCGAAAGUUUAAAAAUAGCAUCAGAUCGUUAGAAAUCGUAUGUGAAUUUGAAACGAAAAGAUAUAGAGUUUCAGAUAGGGGAUAAAGUCUUUUUGAAAGUUCACCGUGGAAGAAAAUACUCAGAUUCGGUCGUAAAGGCAAAUUGAGUCCAAUAUUUAUUGGGCCGUAUGAGAUAAUUGAGCGUAUCGGGCCGGUUGCAUAUAGACUGUUAUUGCCACCUGAGUUAGGAAAGAUCCAUAAUGUAUUUCAUGUUUCGAUGCUUCGUCGAUAUCAGUCAGAUCCUUCGUAUGUGAUUAAUCCGUCAAAGAUUGAGAUUUAGCCUGAUAUGACUUAUGAGGAAGAACUGAUUCGUAUUUUGGCUCACGAGGUUAAAAAAUUGAUAAAUAAUUUUUUUUAGUGAAAGUGUUGUGGCAUCAGCAUGGGGUUGAAGAAGCCAUGUGGGAGCCCGAAGAUACUAUGAGGAAACAAUAUCCAAACCUAUUCACCGGUAAGAUUUUCAGGGACGAAAAUCCCUAAGGAGGGAGAGUUGUAAUAGCCCAAUUUAGACCCGAGUCAGAAUAGUGGUUCUGGGACCACAAAUCUGAGUCCGAAAAAUAUUUUAAUAUUUUUUCCGUGCUUAUGAUAUGUGAAUUUAUAUGUUUGAAAUUUUGGUGUGAUAAUUUUAUCGUUUAAGUGGUUAAUUUGAGAAAAGGAUUAAAUCACGUAAGUUGCAAAAGUUACCUUCUAUAAGUUAAAAGUGUUAUAUUGAUAUGGUUUAGCAAAGUGAGAGUCCUUCAUUUCAAUUAUACCAUUAAUGUUAAUGGUGGACAAUUAUGGACAUGUUAGGUGAAUUUUAAUGAUUUAUAACUACAGGCUAAAACGGUAAAUCAUGAAAUAAAUAUAGUAAAUUAAAGAAAACAAAAGAAAGUGCAUGUAAAUUACCUUGUUUGAGUCGAAUUUUGAAGAAGAAGAAACCAUUUUUUGGUUCUUUGAGGUUCGGCUAAUGCAUAUUUAAUUGGUAAGUGUUUCCUAACUUGAUUUUUGGUGAUUUUUAUGUUUUUGAGAUCGUUGCUUUGUGUUUUAUAAAACCAAUGCUUUAAUUUAAUAAAUUGAUGGUAAUUUUGAAAUAUUCCAUUGAUGCUUUAGUGAGCUUUGUGAUAAUAAUUGAUGUUAUAUGAAAUCUUGAUGAUAAAUAAACAUGUUUUGUCUUUGGAUUUUGAUGAAUUUGAGUAAUUUGGAUUAAAUUGUGAAAAUGAUAUUUUGAGGGACUAAAAUGAGAAAUAAUGAAAUAUGUGGACUUAUAUGGACUAUAUGAGUAUUCGGCCAAGCAUGGGAAGUAUGAAAUUUUGUGUAUUUUGUGUAUUUGUGAAAUAAUGACUAAAUUGAAUAAAUGUGAAAUGUUAAGGGCUAAAGUGUAAAAUGCCCAUUUAUGUGUUUUGUGUGAAAUUGAAUGAUUUUAUGAAUAAAUGAGUUAAUUUUGAAUACAUUUAGAUCAAGAAAAGAGGAAUUCGUAAUUAGAUCGGGGGAAGGACAAAGUUAUCGAUUAAUUGACUUGUCUCGCCAUUUUCAAACCCGAGGUAAGUUAGUAUGUUAUAAGAGCAUUAUUUCUUUGUAUAAUUAAUGCUUUGAGAACGGUUAAUUUGUAUAUUUUUGGUUACUAGAUUGGUGGAUAGUAUAUCGAUUGUGAAAAUGACACUUAGUGUGCGAAUUAUUGAGGAUGGCACUUAGUGUGCGAAACAUCCAGAAAUAGCACUUACUGUGCAAAUUAUUGAAGAUGGCACUUAGUAGGCAAGACAUCUAGGAUGGCACUUAGUGUGCGAUACAUCCGUGAAGGCACUGAGUGUGCGAAACUUUGAGAACAAUACUUUGGUUGUAGGACAUUGAUUAUGCAACGACAAAUUCUAGGUAUGUACAAGUUUAAAAAUAAGUUGGUGAAAGGUUUGUUAGAAAUCCCGAAGGAUGUGUAUGUUAUUUUAAACUGCUAAUGUUUAUGUAUAUAUAUAGAUGAGUUUUUAUCAUACUAGCUUACUAAACUUUAAAAGCUUACUUUGUGUGCUCCCUCUGUGUUUGAUAGAUAUUUAAAGCUAGCUUGGACUCGGGGAUCGUCAAGGAACGUCAUCACACUAUCAAACGUCUAUUUUGGUAUCAUUUUGAGAGUUGUAUAUAUGGUAUAUGACAUGUAUAGGUCGGUUUCAUUUUGCUAUGUUUUGUGACAUGAAUAUUAGCCAUGAGACUUGGCUUGUAAAUAUUGGUAUGUAUGGCCUCUUAUUUUAGCCUAAAUGAUAUGUUUGAUGGGUAAUUAAUAUAAUGCUUGUAUAUUGCAUAUGUGAUGGAUUAGUUAUGAAAUGUUGAAAUGGCUAAUUUUGUGGUAUAAGGUAAUAGAGAAAGUAAUAAGUUAUGUAUUUGAAAUUUAUGAAAGUUGUGAUGAUUUUAAUACAUUGUUUAGAUAUGUUUUGGUUGUGAAAUUGAGUGGUGAGUUGGAUGAUAUUUUGAAUGGUUUGUAAUAUGAUUGAAUUGGUUGAAUUGGUUGCCUAUUGAUGAUGGAAUUAGUAUGAAAUGUGGUGUUUAGGUAUGAUUGAUUCAGGGUGAAAAGUGUGGCUUAAACCAAGCCUAACUUCACUCCACACGGCUGAGCACAAGGGUGUGUGGCUCGACCGUAUGUGAGACAUGGCCUUGGUACAUGGCCGUGUGGCCCUUGGGGUACCCUUUCGAAUUAAGACAUUAUACCCUACAAUUUUGACAUGGCUUAGACAUACGAGCGUGACUACUGGCCAUGUGAGACACACGGAUUGGCACACGGGCGUGUGGCUAGCCGUGUGGCCAAGUCAGUAACCCCCUUAGUUUUUACAUGGGCUAGUCACACGGACGUGUGACCUGGUCGUGUGGGCAAGUCAGUAUGUAUGCCUUGUAUCCACACGGUGUAAGACACGAGCGUGUCUGGUGGCCGUGUGAGGCACAUGACCUGUUUACAUGGGCAUGUGACAGGUGCAACUGAGAAAAAUUUUCAAGAGUUCUAAAGUUUUUGAAUGUUGUCGGUUUAGUCCCGAACCUCUUUUAAGUAUGUUCUAAGGCUUAAUAGGGUUGUAUAGGGGACAAUGUAAUUGUGAUUGAAUGGAAUUUGAUUAUGAAUGCAUAUAUAUAGAAUGUGUGUAUGAAUGUUGUGUAUGGUUUGGUAAUACCUCGUAGCUCUAUUCUGACGAUGAAUACGGGUUAAGGGUGUUACAUUUUUUUGGUAUCAGAGUUAUGGUUUAGUCGGUUCUAGGACUACCAUAGCGUAUGUGAGUCUAGCAAUACAUGACAUAUAUAUGAAAUUUGAUAGUGUGAUGAUUCUUGACCUUUUGAAAUGUGUUUUUCAUAUAACAAAUAGAUCCCGAACAAGAAAUAGCUGAUGAUGUUGAAAGCAAUGUGCCUGCUCCUGUUCAAGGGACAACAUCAGUUGAAUCUAGACCGAUAUCAAGUAGUCAGGGAGAAGAGGCUAAGCAAGCCUUCUUUCAAAUGAUGACUGAGUUGUUCACGAAUUUCGUACGAACAAAUUCGACUGCUCAACAAUCUCCACCCUGACCUAUUCCUCAACAAGUCCUGGAUAUGCCACAAGUAACAGACCCGAUUCGAUUGAAUAAGCCACCUGUUAAUAAGAUUCGUAAACAUAGGGUUGAAGAGUUUCGGGCUACGACUGAUGAUGAUACUGGAAGGGCUGAGUUCUGGUUGAGAACACUAUUCGAGUAUUUGAUGAGUUGUGCUGUACAUUGGACGAGUGUAUCAAAUGUGUAGUAUAUUUUCUUAGAGACAAUGCAUAUCACUGUUGGAAAACUUUGACAUUGGUAGUUCUUAGGGAACGAGUUACCUAGGAAUUCUUUCAGACCGAGUUUCGAAAGAAGUACAUAAGCCAGAGAUUUCUCGAUCAGAAAAAUAAAGAGUUUCCGGAGUUGAAAUAGGGCCGAAGGACUAUAACAAAGUACGAAAGAGAAUUUGUGCGUUUGAGCAAGUAUGCUCGAGAAUACGUGUCUACGGAAAAGAUUAUGUAAAAAAGAUUUGUUGAUGGAUUGAACGAAGAUAUAAAGCUGUUAGUCGGGAUACUUGAGUUAAAAGAAUUCGUAGUACUGGUCGAGAGGGCCCGUAAAGUUGAAGAUCUCAGUAAAGAAAAGAGAAAAGCUGAUUCAGAGGCUAGAGAUUUGAGGAAGCAAUCGAUGAAUAAAUCUUAUCAUUCCUCAUCAAAGAAAUCUAAAAAUUUCAAUGAUCGAUCGAUAGUUUAAGCAAGACAUCUGUUUAGAGAUCGUGGAAAGCAAUAUACUAAUCCUAAAGCACAGAAUACUUCAGUAUCGAGUGUUGGUAAUAGAAAGGAUGAAAAGCCUGAGUGUAAUCAAUGUGGAAGGCUGCAUUUUGGAGAGUGCUAGGGAAAAAUUAGUAGCUGAGCUUGUUAUAGUUGUGGUUCUCGAGAUCACUUCAUAAAAGAUUACCUAGAGUUAGCUAAGAAAGAUAAUACUCAGAAUAUGAGGCCAAGUAACACUGCAGCUAGAGGUAGACCACUGAGAAACACAAGAAAUACGAGUGGUGGUAGAGGUGUGACGCGAGACACUGCAGUGAGAUCUGAUGCUAGAGCAUCUACACGAGCUUAUGCUAUACGAGCACAAGAAGAAGCGUCAUCUCCAGAUGUUAUUAUCGGUACUUUUACUCUUUAUGAUACUAAAGUUAUUGCAUUGAUAGAUCCAGGGUCUACUCAUUCGUAUAUAUGUGUGAAUUUAGUAUCCAGUAAGAAUUUGCUUGUAGAGUCUACUGAAAUAGUAAUUAGAGUAUUGAACCUCUUAGGCAAGCGUAUAUUAGUUGAUAAAGUGUGCAAGAAUUGUCCAUUGAUGAUUCGGGGUAAUUGCUUUCCGGCUGAUUUGAUGUUGUUACCAUUUGACGAGUUUGACAUAAUCCUAGGUAUGGUUUGGCUAACGACGCAUAAUGCUGUAAUGAAUGGCAAAUGGAAGAUGAUUGAUUUGAGAUGUUAGAAUAAUGAGAUUAUCCUUAUUGAGUUAGAUGAUAUGAAUGGUUUACCGGUAGUGAUAUCUUUAAUGUUAGCUCAGAAAUAUGUGAGAAAAGGUUAUGAAGCUUACUUUGCGUAUGUGCUUGAUAGUAAAGUGACCAAAAGAAAGAUUGAAUCAGUACCAGUUAUGUGUGAAUAUCCUAAUGUGUGUCCUGAAGAAUUGCCGAGUUUACCACCUAUUCGAGAAGUAGAGUUUAGUAUUGAUUUAGUGCCGGGAACGACUCUGAUAUCGAUAGCUCCAUACAGAAUGGCACUGACUGAAUUAAAAAAGUUGAAAGCUCAGUUGCAAGAAUUGAAAAAUAGAGGUUUUGCUAGUUCGAUUUUUUCUUACUGGGGUGCACCAAUUUUAUUUGUGAAAAAGAAAGACGGAACUAUGAGAAUGUGUAUCGACUGCUGGUUCAAGUGGUAAGGGAGUUGGUGUGUUGGAGGUCCUGUGUUCGAAUACUUGCGCGAACAAGGGUAUUUAUUUUUGUGUUCAAUUUUAUGAGAGAGUUCUGAUAGAAUUUGGAUUCUGAGAAGUGGGUUAGUGGGAGAGUGAAUUUAGAGAUACGUAGGUCCUUCUUGAUUAUCUAUUAAUUGUUAUUUCUUUUCUUUUUCUCUUUUUCAAAAUUUCGAUUCCUAUUGAAAAAUUUGAACGUUUUUUUAUUUCUUCCCAUUUUCUCCCUUCUUGUUACUUUUCUCUGCAAUCGGCAUCACCUCUUCAUUUCUAAAUUACUGUUAUCUGCUCACGGUUGUCGUACGUUGGUAAGUGAUGUGUUUCGUUCGUUUAGGUAGCCUUUGUUUUAAAUCUGUUUAGAGUUGUAUGGAUUUUUCUCGUUGGCACUAAAUUUACGUUUUGGCAGCAGGGAAUCGAGAAGAUCGUGUCCCUACUCUUGCGGAAUUGUAUGCUAUAGUUCGGAGUAUUUGGGGUAAGCGUUGAACGUUGUCUUAGACUUUUGGUAGGUAUUAAGUUUUUGGUUUAAUCUUGAUUUAGGACUAAUUUUGAGCGUUGAUGUGAUGAGCUUUGGGUUCUUUAGAAGGCUCAGGUGGGUUUUCGCAUUGAAUCGAUACCAGGUUUGCACCCGGAACGCAAAAAUUUAGAUUUCUGCAAAAAUAAAAAAUUACCAUUAUCGACGCCACACGGGUGUGUGGUUGCCCAUGUGAUCGACAAAGGCAUGACCGUUCAUAAGAGACGGCCGUGUGGUGGCUCGGGUGUGGCCGUAUGGGCCAUACGGGAUAGGCCAUGUUGGACGUGUGGGCCACACGGGCACUUCACACGGGUUUGUGGAUUAUUGGGCCAAGCUAUGUGGACCACACGGGCAAGGCCAAUCUGGGUGUAUAGGCUACAAGGGCGUGUGGGCCCAUACGAACAUAUAAGGCCAUAAAUCUUGAAAUUUUCCUAGGGUUGCAUGGGUCGAUCCAAUUGACUAUUGGCCUAUAAUAGGGUUGGUAAGGGCUAAUUAAACUUUAAUAUGUUGCAAUGCAAUUCUGUUUGACUAAUCUGAUUAGGAUACAAAUAUAUGAUUGUACUAAUAUAUGUGUAUCUGUUAUUUGUAUAAAGUAUGUAGAGCAUGUUUAGUCUGAUGAAUCUGCAUCUGAUAUCUGCAUCUGUUAUGGGGUGGGUUUUAUUUAUAUGUGGAGGAAGUGUUCUGUAUGGCGAACAUCGCCUAUUCUUCUAGUAGCUUGGUUGCACUAUAUCUGAUAUGUGUCGUAAUGACACAACGUGGUGUGUAGGGAUGAGUGAGUGUUUUUAACCCCAUAUAUGGUGUGAUGGGAUGGUCGAAGCUGAUGUGUAAAGGAUGGAGGUAGGACUUUGCAUAUUAUCAGAUCUGUACAUCUGUAUCUAAGAUGGGCAAAAGCCCGAUUCUGUAUCUGACCGUCUGAAAUGUUUCUAUAUGUUGGCUUACCUAUUUCUAUUGGGUUACACACUGAGUUUACGUAAACUCGCAUUUGUUUGUCUGUUCCAUCAAGUAAUCCCCAAACUUAGGUAGAUCGGAGCGGCAGAGACACAGCAGUGAUCACUAUAUCGUAAACUGAUAAACUUAGUACUUUUGGUUAUUUUAAAUUGUUGGACUUAUUUGAGAGUUGUAAUUUUUGGGGACUCUCUAGAUGUGAUCACUGUGGUUUUUGGGUUUGUUUAUAACUGGCAUGCCAUGAUAAACUGUUUCAUGAAAUCGAUGAUUUUCAUUAUAACGAGGUUUUUCUAAAAACAAAUUGGAUUUCAAAAAGUUAAUGAUUUGUUAAGUUUCUACUGUAAAAUGGAUUUUUUUGUAAACAAAUCAACUAUUUAACAUUUUCAAAAGUGGAGAUAAAAUAUGUGAGUUAGUUAACCGAAAUGAUGAUAUGAGACAACUUCAUUUUCAAAUCCUUUCUAUAUGACAUCACAGAUUCCAGAUUCGGCCAUAGCGUUUAGUCCGGGUUUGGGGUGUGACAUUACCCGACUCAGGCUGAACUAAAACUGGUGCUUCGAUUAACAGUGCUUUCAACUGAUUAAAACUCUGUUGGCAAUUCUCGAACCACUCAAACUUUACAUCUUUUUGCAAUAAUCGAGUCAUUGGUGUAGCUAUCAUUGAGAAUCCUUUUACAAAUAUUCGAUAAUAACCCGCUAAUCCCAAAAGCUUCUGACCUUGGAUAUUUUUCUUGGUGGUUUCCAGUUAACAACUGUUGAAAUAUUACUCGGGUCUACUCUGAUGCUUUUCACUGAAACAGUGUGUCCCAAAAAUCCAACUUCUCAGAACCAAAACUCACAUUUGCUAAAUUUAGCAAAUAAUUGUUUAUCUCUCAAGGUUUGUAACACAAUGCUCAAAUGUUCGGCAUGUUCAGACUUAUCUUGGGAAUAUAUCAAAAUAUCAUCAAUGAAUACGACGAUGAAUCUGUUUAAAAACGGCCUAAAAAUUCUAUUCAUCAAAUCCAUAAAAACUGCAGGAGCAUUAGUAAUCCCAAAUGGCAUAACAAGAAAUUUAUAGUGCCCAUACCUGGUCUUGAAUGCAGUUUUCGACACAUCCGAAUCUUUAACCCACAACUGAUAAUAACCAGACCGCAAAUCAAUAUUUGAAAAUACUGUUGCUCCUUUCAACUGAUCAAACAAAUCAUCAAUUCUUGGUAAAAGAUACUUAUUCUUAAUUGUAACCUUGUUAAGCUGUCGAUAAUCGAUGCACAAUCUCAUUGAUCCAUAUUUCUUCUUUACAAACAAAAUCGGUACACCCUAAGGCGAGAAACUUAGUUAUGCAAAAUCUCUAUCCGUUAAUUCUUGUAAUUGAGCUUUCAACUCUUUCAACUCUGUUGGAGCCAUUCUAUACGGAGUUAUUGAUAUCGGUGAUGUUCCCAAUACUAACUCAAUAGCAAACUCAACCUCUCUAAUCAGUGAUAACUUGGGUAACUCUUCAGGAAACACAUCUGGAUAUUCACAAACCGCUGGCACUGAUUCAAUCUUCAGUUCAGACACUUUUGUAUCCAGUACAUAUGCAAGAUAAGCGUUGCAACCCUUUCUCACAUAUUUCUGUGCUACCAUGGUUGAUAUCACAAUCGACAAACCACUCAAAUUAUCAGAUUCAACACGAAGAGUCUCUCCGUUCUGACAUUUUUACACAAUAAUCUUUCGUCUACAGUUUACAACAAUAUCAUGAAUAGUCAGCCAAUCCAUACCCAAAUUCAUAUCGAAUUCAUCAAACGAUAAAAACAUUAAAUCAAUUGGAAAACUGUAACCCCCAGUCAUCAAAGGAUAAUUCUUACAGAAUUUAUCAAUUAGGACGUACUAACCUAAGGGGUUCGAUACCUUAACCACAAAUUCAAUGGACUCGACAGGUAAAUUCUUACUAGACACUAAAUUUGUACAUACAUAUGAAUGGGUUGAUCCAAGAUCAAUCAAAAUAGUCACAUCAGUGUUAUAAAGAGAGAAUGUAUUGGUGAUAACAUCUAGCGCUGACGCAUCUUUACGAGCGUGAAUGACAUAAGCUCUGGCCGGCGUCCGUGUCUCAGAACGCACUGCAGAAUCCCUCAUAGUACCUCGACUACCACUCAUUUUUUUGGUGUUUCGGGGUGGUCUCCUUCUAGUAGUUGUAUUGCUCGGCCUCAUAGUUUGAACUUUUUCUUUCUCAAACCUCUCAGGGCAAUCUCUAAGGUAGUGGUCGAAGGAACCACACCUGAAACAUGCUCCGCUCUUCACCUGACACUUACCAUAAUAUGGCCUAUUACAGUGUUUGCAUUCGGGUCUAACAUUUCUAACACUACCCACGCUAGCUACAGAUGUAGCCUGAGGUUUAGGAGUAGAGUGUCUCGCAUCUCUAUCUCGACUAGAGUGCCCUAAAGAAAUAAUAGGACGGCAGUGAUGUUCUUUACAUUUCUUCAACGUUGAAUGAGGAAACUUUCCCGUAAAUCUCUUCCUCAAAUCUCUAGCUUCAAAUUUGGCUCUUCUCUUUUCUUUACUAAGCUCUUCGGUUUUGUGAGCUUUAUCGACUAAAACCAUAAAUUCUUUCAGUUCAAGUAUCCCGACUAAGAUCUUGAUGUCUUCAUUCAACCUGUCUUCAAACCGUUUGCACAUAAUUUUUCAGUGGAGACGCAUUCUCAGGCAUACUUACUCAGUCUCACAAAUUCUCUUUUAUACUCGGUUACGGUCAUACGACCCUGUUUCAACUUUAGAAAUUCCUUGCAUUUUUUAUUAAGAAAUCACUGACUUAUAUAUUUCUUACGAAAUUCAGAUUGGAAGAAUUCCCAAGUAAUCUUCUCUCUCGGUACUACAGUAGUCAAGGUAUUCCACCACUAGUAUGUAACAUCUUUCAGAAGAGAAACAUCUCAUUUAACACAUUCGGUUGGUGAACAGGAUAUUCUCUAGCCAAUACUUAGCUUUUUUCAGAUCAACAUCAACUGUAGCUCGAAACUCUUCAGCCCAAUACUUGUGAAUCUUAUCAACCGGAAGCUUACUAACUUGGAUUGGUUUCGUACACUGAGGAACAAUGGGAACCAAUUGGGGAAUAGGAGGGGGUGGAGGUUGUUGAGCAACCGAGUUCGUCUGUACGAACUCGGUGAACCACUCGUUCAUCAUAUGGAAGAAGGCUUCCUUAGCCUCUCCACUACGACCCUCAUAUACGGGUCUCGAUCCAGAAGAAGUUGCUCUGCGAACGGAGGCCGGUGCAUUACUUUCUACAUCAUUGGAGUCUGCUCAAUUGGAAUCAAUUACUAUAUGAAAACAUGAUUUAAGCAGUCAUGAGUCAUCACACUAUCACCAGUUUUAAAAAGGCAUGUAUAGCUAGACUUACAUAUGCUACAUUAGUCUAAGAAUCGACUAAAUCGUAGCUUUGAUACUAAUAAAUGUAACAUCCAUAACCCGUAUCCGACGUUGAAAUUGGGUUACGGAGUAUUACCGGAUUUAUACAACAUACAAUCAUACAUUCCAUAUUCAUUUCUAAUUCCAAACAAAUACUAUUCAAUUACAAUCAUAUAGUCCCUAAUACGAGCCCUCGAGGCCCAAAAUAGACAUUUAAAAGUGGUUCGGGACUAAACCGAGUACUCAAGAAAUCUUUGGAAAACAUAGAAAAUUUUCAAAAUGCAGGGGGCACACUCCCGUGUGGCCAGGUUGUGUGUCUCACACGGCCAAAUAACACGCCCAUGUUUCAGGUUGUGUGGGCAUUCGAAAUAGAGACACACGGCAGUGUCCCAGCCCAUGUCCUACCCCGUGUAACUCACUAACUUGAGCCACACUGCCAGACCACACGCCUAUGUGCCAGGCCGUGUAUCCUUCAAAAUGGCCUCACACGCCUGUGUGCUAGGCCGUGUGAAAAUUGGUGGGUAUACUGACUUGUGCCAAACGGCCAAGCCACACACCCGUGUGCUAGGCCUUGUGAAGCUACUGACUUGAUUUCUAUAAAAGUAUCAGGGGGCACACGACCAUGUCACCUGGCCGUGUGUCACACACAGUUGAGACACAUGCCCGUUUGGACAAAAAUAGGUCAUUUUCCAAGCCUUAUUCCUCACCCACAUUGGAACCAACCUAUACACAUCAAUAUGCAUAUAACCAUGGCAUAAAUAGGUACUCAAAAACCAACCAAUCUCAAGCUUAUAACAUAUACUGUCACAUAUACAAUAUGACUCUCAUAAUCACAUCAAUUGACCACUUUAACACAUACAAAUUUUGCUUCCAAAAUCUACCUAAGUGGUCAAAUACAUAUAUGAGACUUUGUGCCUAAAACUUAGUAUGCAUACACAUCUCAAUUCGAACCAUUUAGUACCGAAACACAAUUUCAAAAGCAAGGCAUUCAAUAUAACCUCUAUACACCACAUAACAUAAGUCCAUUUAUACAUAUUCACAUAUCAAAUAUAUGACCACUCUUCAAGUCAACUCAAUUAGUCAAAAUUCAACAAGACAUAUAGGUCACAUUAGCCAAAAUACCUAUACAUGCCAUUUAACCAAAAUAUAUAGAGUCCAAAGUACCAAAAUAAAUGUUUGAUAAUAUAAUGCGAUCCUUGUCGUCUUCCAAUCAUUACGAGCUUCUGAGACACUAAAAAAAAAGAAAAAAUAAACAGAGUAAGUAAUUAAGCUUAGUAAGUUCAUAAAAAAUAGAAUUAAACUUACCAUAUAACCACAAUUUCAGGCAAGUAACUCAAUUCAAUUUGGCCAAAGCCUAUCACAUAACCAUUCACCAAAUUAUCCAUAUAUACAUAUAGAACCGAGAAUCAUGCAUGAAUUCAACAAUUACUAGAAUUCCAUGUACUUGUAACAUUUUUACCAUAUAUUCAUAUAUCAAAUAUAUAAAUCAUCUCCAUUUAACUACCUGUAAUAGUUCACAUCUAACUUAUAUAAUCUCAUAAUACACUAUGCCUGUUGAACCACAUAAAAUCUCGUUAGAAACGUGGGCAAUACACUCAAGGUGUACCGAACUAUAAUCUGUAAAUUCUUGAACAUGUAGGCUCAUAAGAGCGAUGAACGGUAAGCUCCUCCGGGCUGAAUAUCGAUAAGCUCAUACGAGCUGUAAAUCAGUAAGCUCAUACGAGUUAUGGUGAGUCCGCAACACAUGCAAGACUUCAACCAAAACGGUAACCCUAAUGACAUGUCAUUUGUAUCCUACGAAUUCCUAAAGUUUAAAUAGGGCUCGAUAUUUAUCCGUACUUCAUCGGUUAUGCAUUCAAUAAUUUAAACAUCAUAAUUACACAAUUCAAUACAUAUAUUUUCAAUUAAAGUAUAUAAAUACACAAUUUAAUUUUACGAACUUACCUCAAACUCGUAUGACGGAAAUGAUCGUUUAGUCGAUAACUUUGUCCUUUCCACGAUCUAAUUUCGUUCGUUGCUCUUCUUGAUCUAUAUAAUCAAAUUAACUAUUUUAAUAAUUAUUCAAUUCAAUUCAAUCCAAAAAUUCAAGUUUUGGAAAAAUUACUAUUUUGCCCAUAUACUUUUGACCUUUUUACAAUUUAGUCCCUAGGCUCAUAAAAUGAAAUUCAUGAAAUUUCUCCUUUAACCAAGCCUAGCCAAAUUUUCACAUACACCUAUAUCAGCCCAUACAAUCCAAAAUUUCAUACAUUUAACACAAAAGUUUACACAUUUCACAAUUUAACUCCUAAAUAACAAUUUCAUCAAAACUUACUUAACAAAAGUUGUUUAUUUAACAACAAGGGUUCAUUUUAUUCCAUUAAUCAACAAGAAAAACUCAAAUUCUCUCAUGGAAAAACCUUAUACUUCCAAUCAUUUUUCAAAUUAGUCCACUAUUUAGCUAGGUUAAGCUACAACGAUUCAAAAAACAUAAAAAUCAACAAAAAUGGGACAAAUUAUCACUUACACGCAAGGGAAAUGGGUUGAACACAAAUUUUUUUUUUCCAAGUGUGAAAUUCAGCUAUGGCAUGAAAGAAGAAGAAGAAGAUAGUUUCUUGGCUUUUCUUUUAAUUAUUUUUAUCGUUAAUUUCCUUUUUACUAUUUUAUCGUUACCUAACUUUAAAAAUUACUCAAUUACCUAUCCAUGCACAUCCAAUAACUCAUUUUAUGGCAUAAUUACCAAAUAAGGAUCUUCACUUUACUAUUAGAACACAACUUUCGCACUUUACGUGAUUUAGUCUUUUUUCACAAAUUGAGCAUACAAAUGGUAGAAUUUCUUAAUGGAAUUUUUAUACAAUCAUACUAUCAUGCUGUAGAACUCAAAAUAAUAUUAAAAUAAAUUUAUAACUUCAGAUUUGUGGUCCCGAAACUACUGUUCAGAUUUCACUAAAAAAGAGCCGUUACAGAGAAUUGCGAGAUGAUUGGCGUUUCCCCAGCAACUUGAAUCGCGUGGUGGCUAUCCGUCCUUGGGUAAGGGUUUAAUUGUACUUGGAGUUGUUUAGGGGAAUUGUGUACUAUACUUAUCUUUGAAUUAGUAUCGUGAAACGUCACUAAGGUAAUGUUUUGAACUCUGUUUUUAGGUGCUGAGGGUUCCGUGUUUGCUUGGGUAUCGAAGUCGAAUAAGGUAUGCAAAGAGAAACCCAAAAAAAUAGCAAAGGAAAAAAGCCAAAAUUGUGGCCUAUCGACGCCAUAUGGUCUGGGCUAUUUUUGACCGUGUAAGCCACACGGGCAUGCUAUUUUGGGCCGUAUAGGCCUCACGGGCGUAUGGGCCUAAAUUUUAGAAUUUUUACCUAGGGUCGUACAUGUCAUCUCGAUUGGUUGUGGGCCUUCUGUGGGGUUGGCAUGUGUUAUAUAAGCCGCAAAGCAUGGAAUCUAUUAUUCUAUUAGUAUGAAUUCGACGUAAAGAACGCUUAAAUGCAUCUAAUGUGAUGUUAUAUGUUUGAUCUGUUAUGUAUAAGCAUGUUCAAUAUUUGUUUUAUGAGCAUGCAUGAUAUAUAUAUAUUUUGGUAUAUGUUAUUCUGUUUUAUCUGGUAUUCUAUUUGUAUCUGACUACAAGGCGAGUUAUGUAUUAUGUGGAGGAAGUGUUCUGUGUAAGGUGUUAAUUCGCCAUUAUACUCCAGCACUACUGUAAUUAUUCUGGAAAGUGUUGUGAGGACACUAUGUGGUGUGUAAGGCUAGGUGGGUGUUUUAGACCCCACGUGGUGUGUUGGGAUGGUCAGAAUUGAUAUGUAAAGGAUGAGGUAGGAUUUAUAUAUAUGCAUCUAUACUAGUCUGAUACGAUUUUGUAUUAAAUGUAUGUUUGUAUCUGUUCUGCCAUGUGAUCAAAUCUGAAUUUUUGUAUAUGUUUUGGUUACACACUGAGUUUAAAUAGAAAGCUCACUCUUUUUACGUUUGAUAAUUUCAGGUAACCCUUAGACUUAGGCGGGUCGGUGCGACGGGAGCUCGUUUGUGUCCAUAUUACUAUAAAACUUUAUUUACUUAAAUUCAGCUUAUUUAAAUUUCAGUUUUGAGAGAUUUGUAUAAUUUGGACUAUCAGGACUUUUGGGACUGUUUUUGGUUUCGAUUUUUAUUUUGGUUUUUAGCAUGACGAUUGAUAAAAUGGUUUUUACGAAAAUGACUAUUUUUUUGAAAUUAACUAUUUUCAAGGAAACAAACCCGGUUUACCAAAAUAUAACAUUUUAAGAAUUUCACUUGCAAAUUAUCGAUUUAUUUUGAAAACGUAAACAAUUGGCCUUUUUUUUAACUAAUAAGUAUAACAACACGCUCUUUUAAAUAAGUAGACUCUUUUAGUAACAAAGACAUGAUGUUUUCUAAAAGAAAAAGUCGAUUUUAUAAUUUUUCUAUGUAGCAUUUCAAGAUUCGGGCAUAAUGUCUAGGUUGGGUUUGGGGUGUUUGUAACACCCCUAACCCAUAUCUGUAACCGGAAUACGGUUACGAGGCAUUACCGAACUUAUACAUUAGCAUUUGUACAAAAUCGAGUCAUAAAUUUGCAUUCCAAAUCAAAACUUUUCAUAUUUUACCAUAAAGUCCCUAAUAUGGGCCUACAGGGCCCAAUACAUGUUUGGAAAUGGUUCGGGACUAAAUCGGCAACUUAGAGAUUUUACCUUGAAAAUAGGGGCACAGGUCCGUGUGGUCUGGGACAUAGUCGUGUGGCCAGCCCGUGGGGAUCCCAUGGCCGUGUGGAAUUCUGACUUGCAAUUUCUUAAGUAUCAAAGGGGCACACGGCCUAGGCACACGCCCAUGUAGCUAGGCCGUGUGAUAAACUGAUUUUUCAAAAUUUUUAAGCCAUUUUCACAUGAUUUUAACACACGACCAUGCUUGAAACCCGUGUUCUUCACACGACCAGUACACACGACCGUGUCUUUUGCCCAUGUACUAUCCUGACUUCAUAUUUAAGGAUGCAGAGGACACACGGUCAUUUCACACGCCCGUGGGCUGUCCAUGUGUCACACAUUGCCUAGACACACGCCCUUGUAUCUUACUCGUGUAGAGGAAAUAAGGCCAUUCCUAGCCUCAUUUCUCACCACUAACCAAUUCAACUAAUUACCAACAUUCAAAUCAACAUAUUUCUAUAAUAAUUCACAAUAUAUCCAUCUCAAACAUACAUUACUAACUACUUUUAUGACUUAAUUACAACUCAAAAUAUUAAUCUUUCAUUUGGCCUCAAAAGCUUAUACAUGCCAUUAUAUCAAAAUAGGUUUAUCAUUUUUACCAGAAUGAAAGGAUUGAUAGUGUGAUGAUAGCUUCGACCCAAUUUCAACCUUCACGAGCCUUGAGCACUAUAAAACAGGAAAAAUAUAAACCUAGAAGCAUUAAUGCUUAGUAAGUUCAUAUAACCCAAAAUACACUUACCACUCAUAUAUAUAACAAGUAAAUCAUACAUAAGGCAAAUUUAUCCAUCAAUUUAGCAAACUAGAAAAUAUGGCCUAUACAUAAUCAUUCAACCAAAUUGGUUAGUACAAAAACAUUAAUAUGCAUAGAUGAGAUCAUCAUGUCAUUUCUUCUUAUUUCAUUUGUUAAUACAUUUCCGUUGAAUCUUUGAAUUUCCAUGGACCUUUCCUUUUCUAGUUGUACACCUGAGGUGCACAUUCCCUUUUCAAGUGGUACACACGAAGUGUACAUACCCUUUUCAAUUUGUACAUACAAAGUGCACAUAGCCUUUUCAAGUGUACACAUAUAGUGUACCUUUCCUUUUCAAGUGGUAUACACAAAGUAUACCUUUCCUUUUUAUAUGGUAUACACAAAGUAUACCUAACCUUUUCAAAUUGUACCAUUUAGGUACACAAAUCCUUUUCAAGUAUUACCCUUUCGGGUUACAUUCCUUUUCAUAAUGAGAUCAAAAGAUUAUCCCUUUCGGAACAACCUUUGCUGCAACAUAUGCAGGAUCUCAUAUACACAGUAAUCAUCUGUCCGAUCGGAAAUCAAUAUUCAAACGGAUUCAUGUAAUAUUUCAUCAUUUACAUGUAAAUCACAAAUUACAAUUAAUUUAUUACAUGUACAUACCAAUUACAAAGCAUAAUACACAAUAUUCAACAAUCAAUUCGACACAUUUACAUGCUUAAUUUAGUUAUACGAACUUACAUUGACAAUUGAUCAUAUCUACUAAUCCGAAACUUUUUCUUUCCCUCGAUCUUUUUCUUUGUUCGAUACUUCUGAUCUAUAUAAAUAAAUUUAAUCAUCAAUUCUAUGAUUUUUACAUUCAAUCAAGCCCAUUUCACAUUUUAGGCAAAAGUACCAUUUUACCCCUAAACUUUUAAUUAAUUCUAAUUUCGUCCCUAGGCUCGAAAAUUGAAAUUCAUGCAACUUACUCCUUAUUCCAAGCUUAUUCAAAAUUCCAAUAUAACUUUUACAGCACAUGUAUUUCAUAAAUUUCAGAAUUUUUUCAAGAAUUUCACUACUUUGCAAUUUAAUCCCUACACAUGUUUUCAAUAAAAAUUACUUUGUAAAAGUGAUUUAUCUAUCAAUAAUCUUUAUUUUCUAUCAAAAAAUUUCAAUUUACAGCAUAUUCAUCCAUGGGUAAUUUUCUAAACUUUGGUUUUCUUUCAAUUUAAUCACCCAAAUAAAGAAAUUAAGCUUUUCCGAUCUCAAAAAUAUAAAAAUUACUAAAAAUGGGAUAUAGAACUUACCAAUUCAAGCUUGAAAAUUUUCCUUUCUCUCUUCUAGGGUUUCCAUGUAUUUUUAUGAAGAAGAAGAUGAUUUAAAAUGGGUUUUAUUCUAUUUAAUCAUUUAUCAUACUUUAUUUAAUUCAAUUUCCAAUUUAGUCCUUAACCUUUUUCAAUUUUUCCAUGGAUGACUCUUAAAAAUAUCUACAUAUUUUUCAUCAAUGAUCUAAUUGCUAUAUAAAGACUUCUCACUUUUAAUUCUAUAACUGUUUAAUCCUUAUAACUUCUAGAAUUCAACUUUGACAUUUUAUUCAAUUUAAUCUUUUUUGCAAUUAGACACAUAAUUGAUAAAAUUUUUUAAUAAAAAUUUUCAUACAAUAUUCCUAUCAUAAUACCUAUCAUUUUAUGAAAUUUAAAUAAUUUCAUUUUUCGGACUCGAAUUUGUGGUCUCGAAACCACUAUUCUGAUUUCACUGAAAUUGGGCUGUUAUAGUAUUACAGAAUCGCAUCCCUAAACUAAAAAAAUACUAAUAAGUUAGUAUCUUAUCAUUGAGCUAAAAAUUUAAUUAGAAAAUGAUCAUGUACCUUGAUUUGUUUUCUUCCUCCUAUUUCAACUUAUGUUAUGAAUCUUCCACUAGAACUAUAUUAUCUGGCCUUAAUAACCCAGGGAGCUAACCAUCAUGAUAGAGUGUAAAAAGAAUCAGCAAGAUAACUCAAAGAUGUACAAACAACAAUAUUUUCUUUCAUAGCCAAAUAUCCUUCCAUAUUAACUGGAUCACAGAGAUACAAAAAAAGGUUUGACAAAGUAUCUAUUCUCAAAUAUACCAUUAUCACAUUCACCGUCUCCAAAAUUGUUUUCCCCAUAGCACCAAGUAAAGAAUUUUUUCUAAAAAAAGUUCAACACUUUUAUCAAUUGUCACCUUAUCACCAGAAACUUUGUAGGACGCUAAUCUGGCAAAUGGGUUUCCCCCUAUUAUUUUAGAAUCGAAAAUUCCGAAAUAAACUUUGAGCCAUUUUAAUACUGUUAAAAUUCUGACAGCAACCAAAGCACAUGCAACGCCAUGACCAUUGAGGUUUUCUAAAAAUUUAAAAUCAAUCAAUCUUGUCACUAUAGUUAAAACCUUUCAUUUGUUGUAAUUUUUAAUGGCCGCAAUCUUUCUACAAUAAAUAAAAAUUUAAAUCGUCAUUUUUAUUAUAAAAUUAAGUUAGUUAGAACUGAAUGAAAAUACUUACAUUUUAAUAUUAAUAGUCAAGUGGUUCGAUUCGAAAAUAAGAAUAUGUUUAUCUUUAAAACAUUAAGAUUCACAUUUAUACAGAUAUCAAUAAUUGCAAUAAGAGAUUUUGACUUUUCUUCCAUUGAAUUUUUUUUUAUCUUCAAAGCAAUUACUUUCUUCUUCGUCGAUAAUAAACUUUCGGAAUUUGAACAUGCAUUUACAAGCUCAUAUGAUCAAAAUUCAUUUAUCGAAGAUGAGACCAAUAUUCCAGUAACAUUUGCAUUUAAAAGCUCUUUUAUUAUUCAUCUUUCUUCUCCAUCAUAAAAAAUCUUUCCAUUCAAAAUUUUCACAAAUUUCCCCUUCACAUCAUUUGCACAAUUUUCCCUUUCCCAUCUUUUUAAAUCUUCACAUUUUCCUUUUGUACCUGAAAUGUUUCAGUUUUUGAUUCGACUUCUUUUCCUAUCCUUAUUCGUACAUCCUCAACAGCUUCUUCUAACAUAUAAAAAAAUAUUUUGUUAGUAUAAUUUUUAUAUAUCAAUAUUAGGAUUACAGUAAAAUCUAAAUAGACAUUUAUAAAGUACAUACUCUGGCCAAAUGAAUUAGUUUACAAUAAUUUCAAUCUUUAUCCAUAAAUGAAAAAAAUACUAAUAAGUUAGUAUCUUAUCAUUGAGAAAAAAUUUAAUUAGAGAAUGAUCAUAUACCUUGAUUUGUUUUCUACCUCCUAUCUCAACUUGUGUUAUAAAUCUUCCACCAAAACUACAUUUUUAAUAACCUAAGGAGUUAACCACCCCGAUAGAGUGUAAAAAGAAUCAGCAAGAUAACCCAAAGAUGUACAAACAACUAUAUUUUCUUUCAUUGUCAAAUAUCUUCCCAUAUGAACUUGAUCACAGAGAUAAAAAGAAAGGUUUGACAAAAUAUCUAUUCUAAAAUAUACCAUUAUUACAUUCACCUUUUCCAACAUUAUUUUUCCCAUAACAUCAAGUAAAGAAAUUUUUUUUUUAAACUUCAACAUUUUUAUCAAUUGUUACCUUAUCGCUGGAAAAUUUGAAAGGUUAUAAUCUAGCAAACGAGUUUCCCCUUGUAUUUUAGAAUCGAAAAUUUCAUAAUAAUCUUUGAGCCAUUUUAAUAUUGUUAAAGUUCCGAAGGCAAUCAAAACACAUGCAAUGUCAUGACUGAUAAUACUCUAAAAUAACAUACUUUUAUGUGUUAAUUGCAUAUAUAUUUUGAGUAUGAUCCUACUAACUUGGGCUUUUUAUGGUUUUUUAUUUGGUAAGGACUAAAUUGCAGGCAAAAUGAAAUUUGGGGGCAAAGAGAGUAAAUUUGAAAACAAAAUGGGCACGCUUGCGAAAUAGGAAAGAAGUGGCACCAAAAAUACAAAGUAUGAAAGACUUGGGGCCAAAAAUUCAAAGAAGAGAUUUAUAAAUAUAAGGCUCUAUUUAAAUUUGAAUUUUUAUUAGGAUUAUUAUUUUGAUUUAAUUUUAACUUUUACCUUUAUUUAUCUUUUAGAGUUUAAAUAGAAACAAAGUGGGUUUUCUAUGUACUAUAAAUAGGGGAUGUAGUGACAUAAAUAGGGACUGAUCCUUUUUAUAAAAAGUCAACCUCCCAAAAAGCUCUAGCUUUUUGUUCCUUUUAUUUAUUCAAUAAAAUUCUAUUUUAUUAAGCUAAUUUCCAUUUUCUCGAAAAGCAUGAGCCACUAAAAUUAUCUAGCCAAAGGUUGUCGAGAUUCCUUAAAAAAGGUUCAUAAGACUUAGAAUCUGCACUUAGCCUUCUCAAUGAGUAUUUAUCGUUUCUCCACAUUACGAGACUGACGCUUCGAUCCAUGUCCUUCCAAAAGUGAUCUUUUCAUCUUGUGCAAAGGCGGCCGCUUUGUAUGUUUUAGGAAGGUUGCAUAGUUGGUUCGUUAGCUUACUGUGUCAGUGGUUGUUGAGCCUAAGAGACAAAAUGGUAUGGCAUUCGCCAUUGAGAAAUGAUGAUCUAGCACUGCGAAAGCACUCACGAGCACUCCAGAACCUAUAAUUGAAUAAUAGGCACCUAUUUAAUCACUUAACAGUCUUAUAAUUAUCGAAUCCCAAACUGAAACUUAAGUAUUGAACGAUUUGACCUUACCCACAACACCUCAAAAAAAUUCGACUAAAACUCCACGAAAGACGAGUCCCUUAUUCCUGAAUUUGUUGCUGCCCAAGGAAUUAAUAUGACCACAGAUUAGUGCGUUAGAAAACGCAACGUACAAAUAUAAACCAAAACUCCACUUACCGGUGCUGCACAAAUAAACGACAAAGAGGAAGAGGGGAAGAUACAAUUUUGAUAAUAAGGGAAGUAGAAUCAGAAGAGAAAAGAUGGAUAAAAUUCGGCAGUCAAAGGGGGAAAAAAUUCAGCAAAAGAGGGAAAAUAAGGAUAGAACUUCAGAAAUUGGAAAACCGAUGUUUUGAGAAACAAAAAUUGAACCUGAUUCUGAUAACUCUCUUACCCAACUCUCCUUAAUUAUGUCCAUCAACCUCUCCACUAAAUCCACUACUCAUAGUCUCAUUCUACUCAAACUUUCACACGACUCAAGCAGCAAAAUAAAUCCCUUGCUUGCACAGGGAUUCGAACUCCCGACCACCAAUAACCUUUACACUCCAUUUAGCCACCAGACUAGCAGGCCCAUUCUAAUGUAAACUUACUAAUAUUCAAACUUAAGCCUACUAAACAAGAGCAAGGCUUUAUUUAAAUAAAGACAAAAAUUUGACCAAACUAAGGCUUGAACUUGGGACCUUACACACACACCCAGAACACUUAACUACUGAAGCAGAUACUUAAUUAUGUGUCAUAUUUUAACAGACAUACUUAUGAGAUUUUUGGGGCGUCACAACUCUACCCCCUAAAAGAAAUUUUCAGCCUCGAAUCCUCAGGCUUCCACUUAACCUCCUCGGUGCUACGAUUACGCCAUAGAAACUUAACCAGUGGAAUAAACUUCCUCCACAGAACCUUAACGUUGCGAUCCAGAAUCUGGACCGGCUCUACCUCGAAGGUCAAGUCUAGUCUAACCUCAAUCUCCUCAACAGGAACAAUAUGCAUGGGAUCAGAGUGGUAGCGCCUUAAUAUCGAGACGUGGAAAACAUCGUGAAUCCGAUCCAACUCUAGAGGUAGCUCCAACUGGUAGGCAACUGGUCCCACUCGUUUCAGUAUGCGGUAAGGUCUAAUAAAUUUAGGGCUCAACAUGCCCUUAGGACCAAACCUCAGAACCUUCUUCCAUGGCGAGACUUUCAGAAAGAUAAAGUCACUCAAUCUCUUGUCUCUUAAGAUCAGCAUAAGACUUCUGUCUGUUAAAAGAUACCUUCAAACAGUCCCUAAUCAGUCGAAUCUUAUCUUCAGUCUCAGAAAUCAACUCAAGACCCAACACUCGUCGCUCACCUAGUUCAGUCUAACACAAAGAAGUACUGCAUUUACGGCCAUACAGAGCCUCGUAAGGCGCCAUUUGUAUACUAGACUGGUAACUAUUAUUGUAAGCGAAUUCUGCCAACGGCAACUGCUCCUCCCAGCUACCUCGAAAGUCAAUUACACAACCCCUUAACAUACCCUCCAGUAUCUGAAUCACCCUCUCAGAUUGACUAUCUAUCUGAGGAUGGAAAGCAGUACUGAAGUCCAACCUUGUACCCAGAGCUUCAUGUAGCUUCUUCCAGAAUCAAAACGUAAAACGAGAAUCCCUAUAAGUUAUUAUCGAAACCGGUACCCUAUGCAGUCUCACUAUCUCAGACACAUAUAGCUUAGCCAGCUUCUGUAGAGAGUAAUCAGUAUGAACCGGUAUAAAAUGAGUGAACUUGGUCAACCGAUCCAUGAUGACCCAUACUGAAUCCUUCUUAGUAGGCGUUAGGGGCAACCUACUAACGAAGUCCAUAGUUACUCUAUCUUACUUCCAAAGUGGAACCUUAACUGGUUGCAAUAAACCCGAAGGUAACUGAUGCUCAGCCUUAUCCUGCUGGCAUGUCAGACAUUUACUCACAAAAUCGGUAACCUCAAGCUAAAGACUUGGCCACCAGUAUAACUCAUGAAGGUCUCGGUACAUUUUAUUUUCGCUAGGAUUUAUAGCAUAGAGGAUACUAUAAGCCUCUCUCAGUAUCGACUGCAUCAAAUCAGCAUCCUUCAGUACAUAGAUUCUCCCAUGGAUACAGAGUUCCCCUUCGCUAUUCAGUCUAAAGUCCCCAGCAUGCCCAUUCUUAACUUGUUAAAACUGAAAACCCAAAAAUUUAUCUUCCAACUACUUAUCCUUAAUCUGCUCAAUCCACAUAGCCUUAACCUGAAGCUCAGCUAGCAGACUUUCGUCAUCAAAUACAUUGAGGCGAGCGGACAUCGCCCUCAAAUCAGUCAUAACCUUACGGCUCAGAGCAUCAGCCACCACAUUGGCCUUACCAAGGAGGUAUUCAAUCAUACAAUCGUAGUCCUUAAGCAACUCAAUCCAUCUACGCAACCUAAGAUUCAGUUCCUUCUGAGUGAAGAGAUACUUGAGGCUCUUGUGAUCCCUGUAGAUGACACACUUUUCACCAUAUAGGUAAUGCCUCUAAAUUUUCAGUGUGAACAGCACUGCGGCCAACUCUAGCUCAUUUGUCGGAUAAUUCACUUCAUGAGUCUUGUGACAGCCCUAAUUUGACCCCAGUCGGAAAGUGGUUUCGGGACCACAAAACUGAGUCAUAAAAAUAACUAAAUGUUAUAAUCUAUGCUUAUUAUAUGUGAAAGUGUAUGUGUGAAAGUAUCGUGUCUUAACUUUGUCAUUUGAAUGUGGAAAUAGCUAAAAAGGACUUGUGUGUUAAAACUUAAAAAUAUGAUAGGAAGAAUUUAGAGGGCUGAAUAAUGCAUGGUAUGUAACAAGGAGAACUUGCAUGUCAAAUGGACCACUAUUAGAUUAGUGGACGACAAUGAUGACAGUUGACAGAAAAAUAUGUAUUUUGUAUUGUAAAAUAAUAACCUAAUGAAUAUUACAUGAUUCCAUGUUAGUAAUAUAAUAUUUAAUGAUAUUAUAAAAGGAAUUAUAUAAUUUAAUAAAAGAAAAUAGGUGAGAAAAACAAAGUUUUCAUCCAUUCUUCUUUCAUUUUGCCGAAAUUUAAAGAACAAGCAAAACAAAAGGGUUUUUGGAUAUUCGGCCUUGAUGUUCCUAAUUGGAGGUAUGUUUGAUUUUAUUUCUUGAUAAUUUAUGUGAAAUUGAGUUAAUUGCUAAGCUCCUUUCAUAGCCCAUGACUUAAUUUUUGUUAUUGAUUUGAAAUGAUGCAUUUGGCUAUGGGUUGUAUGGAUGUCUUUGAAGGUGUUAUAUGUUUUGGAAAUGGUUUGUUAAUAUUGUCACUUAUAGUGAUAAUUCGGUCAUGAUUUAGCUUAUAUUGAAAAUAUGUAAUUAUAAGCAUAAUAACAAACAUGCGAAAUGGUUGUAUUUUUAGUUGAUAUUUGUGUUCAAAAUGGUUCAAUUUGUUUUAGCCACAUGUGCAUAAAUUGUAAUAAUAGAAUAGAUAAUAUGUACUUGAGUAUUCAGUUAUGGUUUUAGGUUCGAGUUGACGGAUAUGCAAAAAUUAGCUUUUGGUAUGUAUUGAUUUAGUAUAAGAGUUCGAAAAUGGCUUAAUUUUCAUGUUUAAAUUCAGUUAUAUCUGAUCAUGGUUGGAGUUAUUUUGAUAUGCAUAUUAUAACGUAUGUAUGAUUUGUGUAUUGGUUGCAUUUUUGAGAUGUUAGUUGUCUUUUGAUCAUAACCCAUGAAUUUAUUUUCCUAAUUGUUGAACAUUGAAUGUUCGGUCAUGAGGUUGAUAUGAAGAAAUGCUUUAGUUCUUUGUUGAAUGUGUUAGAAAAUAAAAGUUGGUGUUUGAUUAUUGAGGUUUAAAUUUAGAUGUUAGGUGAUUUUGUGUUUAUGGUAUGAAAAUGAAAUAAAUUGUUAAAUGGGAAGUUAAUUGCGAAAUGAAGAUAUGUAAGGAUUCAUAUAGGCAUAUGGAGCAUUCGGUUAUGGUACAUUGAAAUAAAGAAUUGAUGUAUUUUAAUUAUUAAAAACUUUGGACUAUUUAGCAAAUGUUGAAUACCAUGAGGAGCGAAUAAGUAAACUUAUUAAUUAUGCAUUAAGAAUUGAUUUGUUUAUAAAUUAAAUUGAAUGAGUUGAAAUUGAAAUUUUAAUUAGAUCAAGAAACGAGGAGAUCAGAAGCGGAUAAGAGAAAAGCGAAAUUAAUUGAAUAGCCGAGAAACUUAAUCCGUCGAUAAUCGAGGUAAGUUUUAAGCAAUUGAGUUGAUUGAAUUUAAUUAUAAUGUAAUUCAUGAAUUCAAUGGAAGUACAUAAUUAUAUAUGUAUAGUUUGGUAUAAUCAAAAGUGAAUACAUAUGUAUGGUUUGAUAUCACCGAAGGUGAAUAUAUAUAUACAUUUAUUUGAUCUAGCCGAUUGUGGUAUAAGUAUGUGUAUAUAUAUUCAAAAUGGUAGUAAGCUUGAGAUGAGCACUAAGUGUGCGAAGUGAAAUUGGUAAUGAGUACUAAGUGUAAAAAAAAAUGAUCAUUUGGCACUAAGUGUGCAAACUGAAUUUAUACCGAGUACUAAGUGUACGAGAUCAGUUAAUGAGCACUAAGUGUGCGAGUUUAUCUUUACGCAUCAAACAUGGAUUAAGGUGAAUAAAUGUUUAUUUGUUUGUUUGAAUUAAGCUCAAGAGAAAAAGGAGCUAAAUUCGGAAAGGGGGAAAGCAAAAGUAGUUGAUUAAUCAAUUCGUAAUUGUGCAAUGACAUUCAAGGUAAGUCCUUAAGUAAUUAAAUUUGAUUUGCUGCGCGCUUAAGAUUAUAUAAUAUGAUAAGAAAUUAUUUGACCUUUACAAGUUCGAUUUGCAACAAGUAUAUUGAAUUUAGGCUAUAAAGCCGAAUAUGAAAUGGAUGAUUUAUGUAUAUAAUGUGGCCGAAUGACUAUUAAGUAAUGAUGUGAAAGUUUGUAAUAUGUGUAUACAAUUUUAUUGUACUUGUUUGUAUAAAGUCGAAUGUGAAUUGAAUGGCAUAUAUGUGGUGACCGAAUAGCUAUUAUGAAACAAAGUCAAAGAAUGGGAUAUUUGUAUAAUAGAUGAAUUGUGACUAUUGUUCCUACUUGAUCGAGGUUGUGUGUGAAAUAAUUUGUGAAUAUGGCAUAUAGCCGAAUGGUUAUUAAAAGUGAAACAAGGAUAGUGAAAAGAUUAUAUGUUCUUUGUGCAUGAUUAUUGAACCGAAAGUUAAAAGGUAGGUGUACAUUUUGUGCUUAUAUUCGAAUGAAGCAAUUGAAUUACUAAUGUGAUAUGUUAUGUGAAAUGUGUUAACAUGUGAAUAAAUAUGCAAGACACUGGAAAUGUAUCCGGGCUAAAGUCUCGCAGGCUUCGUGCUAGAAAUGUAUCCGGGCUAAAGUCCUGCAGGCUUCGUGCUAGAAAUGUAUCCGGGCUAAAGUCCCGUAGGCUUCGUGCUGGAAAUGUAUCCGGGCUAAAGUCCCGUAGGCUUUGUGCUGGUAAUAUAAUUUCGAGUUUUAUACCUAGUAGGCUAAGUGCUGAUGAAUUUGAUAAAAGUAUACAAUUACAAGAUCCUACACUAAGAUGACAAAUUGAAAGUGUAUUACAUAUUAAGUUGGCCAGGUAUGUAUCAUGUACUCGUAUGCGAUUUUGAUUUGAAUUAAAUUAUAAAUGUAUAAAGUGAUGCAUCUGUGAAUAAGUGUUAUGACUAUAAAUGUGAUCGUGAUACAUUCGGUAAAUGUGUGAAGUUAUGUGAAGUGAUUCUAUGUUUAUAUUCAAAUAUAAACACUUGGUCCUUGUGGAAAGGUUUGUGGAAGUAUAUGAUUUUAUUUUUUUUAGAUGAUUACGAUCAUGGAAAAUUAAAUGUGAAUAUGAUAUUGUAUUUUAUUCGUUUCAAUUGAACUAAAGCUAAUAGUGAAGCAUUUUAAUGCCUAUGUUAUAUGAGUUCGAUCUUGAAUGACAUGAUAUACAUGUUUAAAUAAUUUGAAUGCAAGGAAUGUGUGAAAGAGCAAAUUUGUAAUAAAUCUGCUUGGGACAGCAACAGUAGCGUGAUUUUGGAAAUUUACCAUAAAUUGUGGAAAUGGAAUUAGAAGCUGAAUAAAUUAUGUAAUUAAAGCUUAAUGAAUCAAGUUUCUUAUAAAAGAAAUCCUGUAAGCAAAAGAAUUAUAGAUAAUGAGAUAUUUGAAGUGGCGUGAGAUAGAGUCAAAAUGACUUCGAAAUCCCCUGUUCUGUUUUUAGAAAAUCAUUGUAAAUUUUACAAUGAUGAUUAUAAGAUAAAAUUUAUAUUCUUAGACUCCUUAAUGAGUCUAGUUUCAAAUGAAAUAAACGAAAACAUAUUUUGAAUUCUGUACAAUGAGAAAUCUAAUUUAUAGUGAAGAAUGGUUAGAAUAGUCAGACAGUGAAACAGGGGAAAAUUUAAGAAAAAUCUGUAUUGAUUGGUCAAACUAAAAAAUUCUAAAAAUUUUAGGGAUAUAAGAUAUAUAAUUCUAUUUUCAGGGAAAAUUAACAGCACAUGAUUUGGAGUUUUGUAGCUCCAGUUAUAAAUAAUUUAGUGACUACUGCUUAGCAAGACAGCUUGUAGUGAUUAUGUGAUUAUGUUGUGAACCUUGAAUAAACUUGGUCAGAUGUAUGUAGUCCAUGUGAAAAUGAGACGUGAUAAAUAAUAGAUAAAUAUAUGCUAUAUGUGCUUGACAUGUGACCUUGUGGUUCCAUGAAUCAAACAUGGAAAAAUAUGACAUGUUUUGGUUGGUAUGUAUUAGAUAUGUGCAAGUUUUGUUCAUACGAAUGAAUUGACAGUUAUCACAUGAAUUUAAAAUCAUAGUCAUAAGUUAUUUGUAAAUAUAAAUAAGUGAAGCUAUUUAAUAAGGUUAUAUGAACUUAAGAGUACUAUGAAUGUAUAUGCAAUUGAGAUUAUUUUUCAAUUCGUAUUAGUGAUAUGGAAUUUUCAUAAUCAUUGAAAUGAUUUAUUUACUUAAGGCUUACUAAGCUUUCAAAGCUUAUUCUGUGUGUUUUUCCUAUGUCUAUAGGGCUUUAGAGAAAUUGCUUGGGUUGGAAGUCGAGGAGAUUUCAUCACACUAUCGAGUUAUCAUGUGAGUAGAUAAAGUUUGUAUAUCAUUAAAAUUUAAGGCAUGUAUAGAAUAGACUAAUAGUGGAAGGAUAUUUUGGUUAACGUAUUUAAGCCAUGCGAAUAUGGCAUCUUUUGGAUGUUUAAUUUUGUAAGUUAGAAAUUCGAUCACUAGUUGUGUCUAGCAAUUAUUUAAAAAAAAAUCUUUAUUUCAAGAGAAUGUUCAAAAUUUUACAGUUAAGAUCUGUUUUCUGAUUUCCGGUAACGCCUUGUCCUAUUUCGGCGACGGUUACAGGAUAGGGGUGUUACAAGUCUUAAGUUGACGAGACGCAUAUGCCAACACACAUCCCAAUCCGACAUGUGAUGCAUCGCUGUAGACAGUAAACUCUUUUCCAGACUCUGGCUGUAUCAAGAUAGGGGCUUGGGUCAAUACAGUCUUGAGCUUCUCAAAGCUCUCUUACUGCGCAUUAGUCCAGUUAAACGGUACACUCUUAUGUAGCAGUUUAGUCAAGGGUGCUACAAUCAGUAAAAAGCCCUCUACAAAUCAUCGAUAAUACCCUGCCAGUCCCAGAAAACUGCGAAUCUCAGAUACAGUUUUAGGCUGUUUCUAAUCCAACAUUGCCUCAAUCUUCUAAGGAUAGACCCUAAUCCCCUCAACAGAAACAAUAUGGCCAAGAAACGUUACUUCACAUAACCAGAACUCACACUUACUGAACUUGGCUUACAGUUUUUUCUCUUGCAGAAUUUGUAGAACCACUCUGAGAUGUUCAUCAUGUUCAUCUUCUGUCUUCGAAUAUACCAGUAUUCAUUAAUAAAUACCAUUACGAACCGAUCCAGAUAUGGCUGGAAAACUCGGUUCAUCAGAUCCAUAAAAAUAGACGGUGCAUUCAUCAGUCCAAAUGGCAUUACUAGAAACUCGUAGUGACCAUAACGAGUCCUAAGCACCAUCUUAUGCAUAUCAGCCUUCUUAACUCUCAACUGGUGAUACCCUGAUCGGAGAUCAAUCUUAGAAAAAACUGAAACUCCUCAGAACUGGUCGAAUAGAUCAUCUAUCCUCGGUAGGGGAUACUUAUUCUUAAUUGUCAACUUGUUCAAUUGUCGGUAAUCAAUGCACAUAUGCAUGGCUCCAUCCUUCUUUUUCACAAAUAGGACUGGUGCUCCUAAUGGAGAGACACUAGGGCGUAUGAACCCACGAUCUAGUAACUCUUGAAUCUGAGCCUUAAGCUCCACGAGCUCCUUCAGUGCCAUUCUAUAGGGAGCGAUGGACACCAGAGCUGUACCAGGAAGGAGUUCAAUCCUAAACUCCACUUCACGAUUCAGAGGUAACCCAAGUAGCUUUUCAGGAAAAAUGUCUGAAAAGUCUCUACCUGUCCUAAUAUCCUUAACCGAAGAAUCUCCAGUAUCUGGAACACUGAUGUAGGCCAGAUAUGCCUCACAUCCCUUACGAACCAACUUUUCUACCCUUGGUGCUGCUAUCACAUUCGAUAAGUAGUUUCGUCGUUCCCCAAUCAUUACUACCUCGCUAUCCUCCUCAGUUCUCAGUACAACCCUCUUUGUGGCACAAUCUAAGCUCAUUCAGUGUUUAACUAACCAAUUUAUUCCCAGUAUUAGAUCGAACUCUCCAAAGGGUAAUUCCAUCAGAUCAGCCAAGAAGAUAACCCCUUGGACCUCUAAAGGAACGUCUCAUAAAUAACUUAUUUACCCUUAUUGAUUGUCCUAGUGGACUCAAUACAGUCACCUCCCUCAUAGUGCUCUCAACCAAGAUCGCCAAAUUUCUAGACACAAUACAGGCUAUAUAAAAGUGAGUGGAUCCUAUACCUAUCAAUGUAGUACAUGGUACAUCAUAAAUAAGAAACGUACCCUUUAUGACAUCUAGAGCAUCUGCCUCUUCACGACUAUGAGCAGUGUAAACUAAAGCUGACUGGUUCCCCUCAGUCUGACCUAUACCUCUUCCCGGUGCUUUCUGCCCACGGCCCAAGCCAUUACCACCUCUGGCCUGCCCACAGUCUCUUAGUGGUGGCUGAACUACCCUUAGUGGUUGAGCAGUAUAGUACCCAGAGCUUGCAUCAGAUUAGGUUUUCACGAACACUCCCUAAUACGAUGCUCCAAUGAACCACACCUCAAGCAAGCCCCAGCCUUUUUCCAACAUUCGCCCUGAUGGCGUCUACUGCAAUCAGCACAAGGUUACUGUCCAGUAGCAUCAACGGGGGCCCCAACUUUAAUCGGCCUAUCAGCUCUGGCAUUUUUUUAGGCCUCUAAACAGAACUCAAUGGCUCCAAAUCCCUCUUACUCCUACAUCUCUCUUGGUUCUGGCGCUCAACGUGCUUCAUUUCCUCGGCGAUCUUCGCUUUAUCAACCAAAGUAGCAAAGUUUCACUCCCUCUGUGGAGCUAUCAGAACACUCAAAAUAUCCCUGAGGCCAUCCUCGAAGUGAACACAUCGCUCAUACUCAAUCGCCACCAUGUCUCGCGCGUAGCAGCUCAGUCUCAGAAAUUCGACCUCAUACUCUGCCAUAGAUCUAUCUCCCUAAGUCAAAUUUAGGAACUCUCUCCUACAGGCAUCCACAUAUCUAGCCCCCACAUAUUUCCCUUGGAAGGCGGACUUGAAGAACUCCCAUGUCAGUCAUUCAGGCUGAGUGCCCUCUUUAAUAGUAAGCCACCACUGAUAUGCCUUAUAACGUAGCAGCGAUACAACACCUUUUAAUUUCUGCUCAAGGGUGCAUUCCAGAUAAUCCAUGAUCCUCCCUGUGGCCUCAAUCCAGUACUCAGCCACAUUAGGGGCAACCCCAGCGACACCCCUAAAUAUCUCAGCUCCAUUAGAUCGGAGUCAUUUCGUAACUGCCCAUCGGCCUUCAGCUCUAGUAUUGGGCCCAGCGACUCUCUCCAGAAUCUGUAGCAUGGCUUGGGACAGUGCGUCGCCCCUAGCCACUCGAUCAUGAGAUCCAGAUCUAUUCUCAGUCACCGAUGAAACAGGUAUUUCACUAGUAUCCAGAUUAGGCAGGUUGCCUAAUGAUGAGGACUCGGCUCGAGCCCCUCUACGGCCUCUACCACGGCCUCUAGUACCCCGUCCGCUAGUACCUCUCGUGCUCAUUGUCUAAGAGUGUUUAUCUGUAUUAGCAGUUUUAUGUAUCAGUUUACAGAUUCAGUAAUUAUUAGCAGUUUUCUUAUGUGAAGCAAUAUCAGAUGUGUAUAGUUUGUUUUCGAACAACAUAGUGUCUACCAGUUUUACUACAAUCUCAGUAUACACUAACUUGAGUGUUUUCAGUACAGUCUAUCUAUAGCAAUUUCAAUAUACACUAACUUACAGGAUCGGCGUCGGAGACUCAAUAUACCACACUCUCAGUAAAAAUAUUUCAAAUCAUUAUAAAUCAAUUCUUAAAAAAUCAGAUCUUAAAAACCCAAAUCCACAGCUAAGUUUUGCAACCUGGCUCUGAUACUACUAAAAUAACACCCCAAACCCAGCCUGGACGUUAUGGUCGAAUCUGGUGAGGUCACAUAAAAGUGCUUUCGAAAACUAGAUCGUUGCUACAAAACCAUUUCUCCGUUUAGGAAACUUCUUUUCAUUAUGUUAUGUUAAUUCAAAAUCAUGUCAUUUGAUUUCAAAAAGUUAUCUAUUUUCAAAAUGUUAUUUAAUUACAAUUCGUUAUUCAAUUUCAAAACAUUAUACUUCGCGAAAGCUUUUAAAAUAGUUUACGUAUUCGUGGUGUUUUGGUAAAACAUGAGUCUCUUUUGGAAAUCUAAGUUUUUCCUACCACUAGCAACUGUAAAACAUAAAUAGUAUAAAAAUUUUAAAUUUAAACCAAAAUUUCGAAAAGGCUAUUAUUACAUAAAAAUGCCCCAACAUAAACUUAAAACCAUGCGUAAGUACGAAACCAAGUAAAAACAGGUCGUGUAGCCACUACUGAGUCUUCCGCCGUACCGAUCCGCCUAAGUCUGAGGAUUAUCUAUACAGUAAUUACAGAAGGGGUGAGUUUACAACUCAGCGUGUACUCCCCACGCAACCUAUACAGACAGAAUGCAAGCAAUAACAGACUGGGCCUAAGCCCUUCUCAGUGACAGUAUCAGUUUGGGCCUUAGCCCAUCACAUUAACAGUAACCAGUAGGGCCUUGGCCCACUACGGUAUCAGUAUCAGAAACAAUAGCAGUAUCAUUAGGGCCUUAUCCAAUCAUAGUAUCAGUAUGCAGUAAUGCGGUGUACAGUAUGCCAACCCUACUUAACCAACCACUAUACACCAUCUCUUGUCCAACCCUGCACUCCUGUGGGGAAUAAAUCACCCACACAUCCCUACACUUACAAAUUAGCACCGGUUGCGGCACUAAAUAGUAUUUACAGUAGAACUGCCAGUAUAAUAGGCGUUAUGCCUGUCAGUACAUUUCCUCCAAUCAUAUCAACCCAACCCUAUGCAAUACAACAUACAUAUAUAAUAUGCCAUAUCACAGUAUCAGUUAUUUGAAAUAAAAGCAUGCUCAAUAACAUAUAUUAGUCGUACAGUCAUAUCACUCAUUUAGGGGUCUAAGAAUGGCUUAUCGACCCUACAAUAAGUUCACAGUCGACUUGGAAGACCCGUGCAACCUUGGCAAACAAAUCAGUAAAACUGGGCUCACACGCCCGUAUUGGUCUGCCCAUGUGGGCCCACACACUCAUGUCGCCCACAUGACCCAUAUUGGCCUUAGCCGUGUUGAUCACACAGCCUGGCCUAGAAUCUCACAUGCCCGUGUGGGCCUAUACGCCCGUAUGGCCCACACAACCCAAUUGGUCUAGCCCGUGUCUCGUACACGGCCUCGCCAGCCAUCACACGGCUGUGUCAUGAGCACAUGGCCUGGCUCGUCAUUUACACGCCCAUGUUCAGUCACACGGCCUGCUACACAGGCUACCACAUGCACGUGUGACACUGACAGUAGGCUUUUUUGGCUUUUCGUCGGGAUUCAUUUUCGGUGGUUUGGGUACACACCUGGUAUCGUUUUACUAUGAAAGCACUCCUCAGCACUCCAGAACCUAUAAUUGAACAAUAGGCACCUAUUUAAUCACUUAACAGUCGUAUAAUUAUCGAAUCCCAAACUAAAACUUAAGCAUUAAACGAUUCGAUCUUACCCACAACACUUCGAAAAAAUUCAACUAAAGCUCCACGAACGACGAGUCCCUUAUUCCAGAAUUCGCUACUUCCCAAUGAAUCGAUAUGACCCCAAAUUAGUGUGUUAAAAAACGCAACGUACAGAUAUAAACCAAAAUUCCACUUACCAGUGCUGCACAAAUAAACGACAGAUAGGAAGAGGCGAAGAUAUGAUUCCGAUAAUAAGAGAAGUAGAAUCAAAAGAAAAAAGAUGGGUAAAAUUCAGCAGUCAAGGGGGAAAAAAUUCGGCAGAGGAGGGGAAACAAAGAUAGAACGUUUGAAAUUGGAAAGCCGAUAUUUUGAGAAACAAAAAUUGAACCUGAUUCUAAUAACUCCCCUACCCAACUCAUUUUAGUUAUCUCCAUCAACCUCUCCACUAAAUCCACAACUCAGAAUCUCAUUCUACUCAAAUUCUCACACGGCUUAAGCAGUAAAAUAAAUCCCUUGCUCGCUCAGGGAUUUGAACUCCCGACCACCAAUAACCUUUACACUCCACUUAGCUACCAGACCAGCAGGCCCAUUUUGAUGUAAACUUACUAACAUUCAAACUUAAGCCUAUUAAACAAGAGCAAGUUUUUAUUUAAAUAAAAACAAAAAUUUGACCAAACUGAGGCUUGAACUUGGGACCUCACACACACCCAAAAUACUUAACCACUGAAGCAGAUACUCAAUUGUGUGUCAUAUUUUAACAGAACAUACUUAUGAGAUUUUAGGGGUGUUAAAGUUCAACCAAUUCAUUUGAUUUAGUUUAACCUUUCCUUUAAUUACCCCUAUUAACAAACUCAGACUUUGGCGGAUACACGAAUCCAACCAAACACUCCAGUAUGGCUCUCAGUGCCUGAUCGGAUAGUUCAAAGCAAAUAAUUGACACCCAGUGUCUCAUCGGCCAAACCGAAGUAAGUUGGUACCCAGUACCCAGUACCUCAUCGAAUCUAUCCGAAGUAAUAUAAUGACACCCAGUGUCUCAUUGACUCGAGAUCGAAGCAUCCCUGAACACUUCCAAUCCUAUGGCAUGCCAACUAUUUCUGACUCAGCCCGACUAGUUAAUAGGGUAUUUGAUUCACUUUCUCAAUUCAAUAUCACUUUCAAUUCAUUUACAAAUCAAUUCAAUUUCACUUUUCAUCAAUAUACAAUUCUAUAUCAAUACUUAUCCAUCAUCAAUUCAAUUUCCUUUUAUAUUUCAUAAUAAUACUUACCUAUAAUUUACUUACCAUACAUAUAAUUAAAAAUUUAACAUUUAAUAAAAAUAACUUGAAUUAUAGUAAUACAAACCUGGAUUUAUUCGGUUACUCCUCGAUAACUUUUUCCUUUCCUUUCGAUACCGAUGCCUCGGGUUCCUUGUUAGCUACGAAAAUUAAAAUAAUUUAUACUAUUAAUACAACACUAAUCCACAAUAAAUAAUUGAAUUUCUAUUUAAUUCAAACCUUGAUUUCAAUUUGAUCCUAAUUAACUUAUUUACUUUUAUAACUCAAUUCAUACUUCAUUUCUAUUCAAUUUCCUAUCAUAUUCACCCUAACCAUCAAAUAUUCAUAGUAAAACCCUAAUCUCAAGUUUCUUUCAAUUUAGUCCCUCUAACAUAAAACUUAUAGCUUUUUUUACAAUUUAAUCCCUUAAUCAAUUCUAACUUGAAAUUCAUUCAAUUAAAUCCCUAAUUCAACAAUUUGUUCAACAUGACCCAUGCUUAAAAACCUAUAAACUUCCAAAACCUCAACUUUAUUUCAACAAAACUUUAUUUUAAAGCUUCUAAAAUAUCAAAAUUAAGUAAAAAGGGCUUAAUUAACUUACCAAUCAAAGCUUUAAACCUUAAACCCUUAGUUUUUCCUUUUUCUUUUCUUUCUUUCUUUUUCCUGCUCUGUUUCGAAUGCCUCUGUUUCUUUUAUCCUUUGUUUCUUUUAUUAUUAUAAUAAAUAUCUUUUUAUUACAAAUAUUUAUAUUAUAUUUGUCACCUUUUAAUUAAUUUUUCAUAAAAAAAUCUUAUAUAAUAAUUAUUUAUCUAAAAAAUAUAUUUUACUUAAUAACAAUAAAUAAAUAAUAAAUAUAUAUUUUACUAAACAAUACAUGUAUUACAAUUGUAUUAUACAUAUUAUUACACAUGUAUUUUAUCUCCACCCUACAUUUGUCAUAAUUCAAUUUAUUUGAUAAUAAUAAUAAUAAUAAUUACAACAAUAAUUUAAUAAAUAUCUAUUUAAUAAUUAUUGCAUAUACUACAAAUGUAUGUAUUUUUAUUAAUACACUUGUCAGCGUUUAAUUUAUUUAUCACAUAAAAAUCUUAUAAUAUAGUUAUUUAAUUAAUAAAUAUCUUUUAACUUAAUAAUAAUAAGUAAUAAAUAUCUAUUUACUUAAACAAAAAGUAAUUAAAUAUUUAUGUUACAAUUGUAUACAUAUUAUUAUUACAUUUGUAUAUUUUUAUCACCAUCCACUUGUCAAAAUCAUACUAUAUUUAUCAUAUAAAAAUCUAAUUAUUUUAAAUUGAUUUAAUAAAAUUUUAUGUAACGCCCUAUUUUUUUUUAAUUCUUAUUUCUGUGAAUUAUUAACAUACAAGUGUGUAUUUGCUUUAGUGGUUAAGUGUUUUGAGUGUGUGUGAGGUUCCAAGUUCAAGCCUUAGCUUUGGCGAAUUUUGGCUUUUUCCUAAAUGAGGCCUUAACUUCUAGUCAGCAGGCUUAUAUUAAACUAUUUGUAAUUUCAUAUAAGAAUGGGCUUACUGGUCUGGUGGUUAGGAUAUGUGUUGGAGGUCUAGAGUUCAAAUCCCUAGGCGAGCGUGGGUGUUUAUUUUUGUUAGUUUAACUGAGAGAGUUUUGGUCAAAAUGAAAUUCUGUGUUGGUUGAGAUGUAGUGGGUUAGUGGGAGCAAAAUACGGGAUUUGGGAGUUAUCCUGGUAUUCGUUUACUCCUCUACCAAAAAUUCUCUAUCAGUUUGACAUCCUUUUGAAUUUCUUUUCUUUCCACGCACAUAUUCUUUUCCCCUCUCCGUCUUUCUUCCUUCUUUUGUGUUAUGCUGUUUUCUUCUUUUCCUAUUGUUGCCAUUCUCGUUGUGACUCUUCCUAUCUUUUCUUAUUACCGCGGCUAGUCAUUCCAGGAUCUUUAUGCGUUUUGGUAAGCUUUGUAAGUACAGUUAUCAUUAAAUUGUUGAAUCUUUGUCUAAUAGAUUUCUAAUGUGUGGUUAGGAGGCUAUUAAUGGGGCAUUAGAAUUCCAUUUGGUACUGUAGAAUUACAACUUCGCGGGUGUUGAACAAAGGUAAGGGUUUCGAUAGGUAAGGGGUGAAUGUCUCGUUAUAGUCUCGUGUAAAUUUUGGUUAAGUUACUAAAAUUGGGCUUUGGGUUGUCGAUUUUAGGUGUUGGAGUGCUCGAGAGUGUUAAGGCAUCAAUAUUGUCACAGGUGUGUACCCUGAAAAUGCAGAAAAUGAGAAUCAGCGAAAGUUGAAAACAAAACUGUCGACGCCACACGGACGUGUGGUCGCCCAUGUGGUAGGCUGUGUGGCUGUACACGAUCGUGUGAUCGACGAACCAAGUCGUGCGCACGUGACGUAGGCACAUGACAUGACUGUAUGAUGGCCAAAGAGGCAGUGUGCUAGACACGGGCUCGAUCGAUUGGGUUGUGUGGGCCACACGAGUGUGUGGGCCAACACGAGUGAACCACAUGAGCAUGUGAGAUUCGGGGUCAGACCAUGUGAUCCACACGGGCAAACCACAUGGGCAUGUGAGCCCAUUUUUCUGAAAAACUCUAUAAGGUUGCACGGGUCGCCCAAGUCGACUGUGACCUAUCAUAGGGUCGGUAAGCAUUACUUAAAUCCCUAAUUUUGUGAUCUGAUUAUGUGAUGUAUGAUCUAAGCAUGUGACACUUAGCAUUGAAAUCUAAACUGUUUGAGUAACCUAAUAGAUUACAUUUUACCAUGCCAUAUAUGAUUAUUGCAUUGCAUCGGGGUUGGGUUGAUGUCAUAUUGGAAGAAGUAUUCUGAAAGGCCAUUAAGCCUGAUAUCUGGCAGCUCAGCUACAAUCAUCUGAUUAUGUGCCACAUUUUGGUACAGCGUGGUGUGUCCCCUGCACCUUAAAAAUGAGAAAUAGAAUGCUCAGAAAUAAGCACACGGGCAGAGAUACGGGCGUGUGUCUCAACCGUGUGGGUGACACGACCUUGGACACAGGCGUGUUACAUGGUUGUGUGAAAACUACACCGAAUUUAUGAAAAUUAAAUUAACCAUACGGCUUAGCACACGGGCGUGUGACUUGGCCGUGUGACUUUAAUUUUUUCAUGCCUUAUAAGUCAGAGAGUUACACGGGUUAGGGACACGGACAUUUGUGACCACACGGCCUAACCACACGAGCGUGUCCCUAGACUACACGGGCGUGUGAUCCUUGUAUAUAAGAAAAUUUCUAAAAUUUCUUACAAAUUUCUUGAAGAUUCCGAUUUAGUUUCAAUUCAAUUCUAAUGUGCAUAUUGGGCCUCGAGGGCCUAUAUAAGAGUUAAUAUGGUUGAAGUUAGUUAUGAAUAUUAUUUUGAUUCGAUUUAUCUGUAAUUAAUCUGUAAAUUUUUUGUAAUACUCUGUAACCCUAUUCCAGUUACGGAUAAGGGUUAGAGGUGUUACAGUUCCCGUUAAAAGUAAAAAUAUCUAAUUUAAGUUUCAAACUAGAUAAGUUUGGUGAACACAUCUUAAUCGAGUUAUAAUUAAACCAGAGACAUUUUCUUUAGAGUUUUUAUUUAAGAUCUCCAUAAGAUUUUAGCCUAGAUUAAGACAUUAAUAUGCUUAAAUAAUAAUAAAAAACUAGCUCCUAAGACCCCGUAGAACUAUCCCCGGAUAGGGGUUGUAAGGGUGCUAUAACCUUCCCCACACGUAACCAUACUCCCGAACCCGAAAUUUGGUAAUGAUAUCGAGUCUAGACUUUUAGAAUUUUUUGUAGUAUUAAUUCUAAACUUUUAGACAAUAAGUGGCUAACCAACAUAGCCCCAAUUGGUUAGUGGCGACUCUACAUUAAUUUAGGCCCUUCGUGUCUAACUUUGCUUACUACACCCCCGUACUCUUAUGUAGGCAAUGUUACGACAGUUAGUAUAAUUUUUGUAUAUCAAUAUUAAGAUUACAAUAAAAUCUAAAUAGGAAUUUAUAAAGUACAUACUCUGACCAAUUAAUUAGUUUACAAUAAUCUCAAUCUUUAUCUACAAAUGAAUCUCACCCCUAAAUUAAAAAAUAUUAAUAAGUUAGUAUCUUAUCAUUAAGCUAAAAAUUUAAUCAAAGAAUGAUCAUGUACCUUGAUUUGUUUUCUACCUCAUAUCUCAACUUGUGUUAUGAAUCUUCCACCAGAACUACAUGAUCCGACCUCAAUAACCUAAGGAGCUAACCAUCCCAAUAGAGUGUAAAAAGAAUCAGUAAGAUAACCCAAAGAUGUACAAACAACUAUAUUUUCUAUCAUUGCCAAAUAUCCUCCCAUAUUAACUAGAUCAUAGAGAUUCAAAGAAAGGUUUGACAAAGUAUCUGUUCUCAAAGAUACUAUUAUUACAUUCACCUUGUCCAAAAUUAUUUUCCCCAUAGCAUUAAGCAAAGAAUUUUUUUAAAACUUCAACACUUUUAUCAAUUGUCACCUUAUCAUUGGAAACUUUGUAGGAUGCUAUUCUAGCAAACAAGUUUCCCCCUUGUAUUUUAGAAUCGAAAAUUCCAAAAUAAUCUUUGAGAUUUUAAUUCUGUUAAAGUUCCGACAGCAAUCGAAGCACAUACAAUGCCAUAACCAUUGAGGUCUCUUGAAAAAUUAAAAUCAAUCAAUCAUGUCGCUUUAGCUAAAAUCUUUAUUUGGUGUAAUUUUCAAUGACCACAAACUUAUUGUAUUAAAUAUAAAUUUAAAUCGUCACUUUUAUUAUAAAAUUAAAUUAGUUAUAACUGAAUCAAAGUACUUACAUUUUAAAAUGAAAAUUCAAGUGGUUAGAUUCUAAAAUAAGAAUAUGUUUAUAUUCAAAACAUUCAUUAUUCACAUUUAUACAUGUAUCAAUAAUCGCAAUUUUCCCCUUCAAAAUUUUCACAAAUUUACCCUUCACACUAUUUGCACAACAUUUGCAUAAUUUUCCCAUUCACAUCUUUCUAAAUCUUCACAUUUUCCUUUUGUAGCUUAGAUGUUUCAACUUUCAGUUCAACUUCUUUUCCAUUCUUUGUUCUCACAGCCUCAACAGCUCCUUUUAACAUAUAAACAAAUAUUUUGUUUAUAUACUUUUUAUAUAUCAAUAUUAAAAUUACAAUAAAAUCUAAAUAGAAAUUUAUAAAGUACAUACUCUGACCAAUUAAUUAGUUUAAAAUAAUCUCAAUCUUUAUCCAUAAAUAAAUCGCACCCCUAAAUUAAAAAAUAUUAAUAAGUUAAUAUUUUAUCAUUGAGCUAAAAAUUUAAUUAGAGAAUGAUCAUGUAUCUUGAUUUUUUUUCUACCUCCUAUCUCAACUUGUGUUAUGAAUCUUCCAUCAGAACUACAUGAUCCGACCUCAAUAAUUAACCACCCUGAUUGAGUGUAAAAAGAAUCAGCAAGAUAACCCAAAGAUGUACAAACAACUAUGUAACAACUCAUUUUUCAAUGGUGUCGAAAACAGUGGUUUCAGGGUCACAAAUCCGACGAGUAAGUUUGUAAAUAUUAUUUUUUAAUAUUUACGAGUCAAAUAUGAUUUUGAACAGGUUUUUGAUAUGGUAAUUUAUGCUAUUCGAAUGAUUAAUUAAGUUUAAGUGAUUUUAGAAAAUGAGGUAUCGAGACCUCGUUUCCAUAAAUUGAGCCGUAAAUAUUUUUAUAAAUAUUUACGGAGUGUUAUUAAAGUUGUAUUAAAGUUUAGUCAAGAAAUUUUAAUGUUUGGAUAGUUCAUCAAGCAAAAAGGAUUAAAUCGUAAAAGUUGAAAAAGUCAAUUGCUAUUAGUUUAAAGGUGUUAAUUGAUUAAAUAUUAUAAUUGGAUGGCCCUAUUGGAUAAAUAAACCAUCCUUAAAAUAGUGGGAUAGUUUAUUGCUUUAAUUUAUUUUAAUUUUAAGGUUUUAUAUGUUAUUUUAUUAUUAAAAUAAAGAAAAAGGUUAAUAAAAUAACGAAAACAUAAUGUUUUCUUCCCCAUUUUGUUUUUUCAUCACCGAAUGCUCCAUGAAAGCAUACACAAGGUUCGUCCAUGGUUAAACCUUUGCAUGGUGAGCUAUUUCCCACCCGUUUCUAAUAAUUUUUAUGUUUUUGAAAUUGUUGCAAUUAGGUUCAGUUAGCUUGUACCUUUGUUUUUGAAACUAUUAAAAAUUUUGAAUGUUUCCAUUGAUGAAUCUUUGUGAUUUUAGACUUUAAUUGAUGAAUUUGAAGUAUUAGUUGAUAUUUAUAAGUAUUUUAUUAAGUGAUUUUUGAUGAAUUUAUCGAUUAGGGACUAAAUUGUUGAAAUAGUAAUAGUUCAAGGACUUGAUGUGAAAUUGUUGCAAAAAUGAAUUGAAAUGGGUGCUAUUGAUAUUCAAUUGGCAUGGGUUUGCAAUGAAAACGGUUAAUUUGCAUGUUUUAGGCUGAGGGACUAAUUUGAAUAAAAGUAAAAUGUUAAGGGUAAUUUUGUAAAAAUGUAAAAAAUAACUUAAUUGCAUAAAAUAAUUUGUUUUACUAUCUAAAUUAAUAAAUUGAAUGAAUUUAUUAAUUUAGAUCAAGAUCGAGUGGAAUGGAGGAGAAUGGAAAAAUAACCAAAUAGUCCAUGUACUUUGACAUUUUUGCAAUUCAAUCAAGUAAGUUCGUAUGAAUUAUAAUCACUUAAAUGUUGAUUAGAUUGAAUGUUUAAUGUGUUGUUUUAAUGUAAAUGAUUCAAUAUAUAAUGUUAUUAUACAAUUUAUCAUGUAAAGAAACGAUGAAAAUCCAAUGACAUUUCGAUGAUUAUCUAGCCCCAUUUGAACAUUAGGAAUAUAUAGGAUACAAAUAACAUGUCAUUAGGGUUUUCAUAUUUCAGGUGCUGGUUCUGAAUGUUUUACCGAUGGCUGAGGUCUGACAUUUGUUGCGAAUACUUAUCAACGUGAGCAGUAUUGUGUAGCUUACAUUCCGACCGUCAGCUUGUGUGAGCAGACUCAGGUUACCAUGUUCAGAGUGUUGGUCCUAAAUAUCCUACCGAUGGCUGAGUUCCGACGUAUGUUGCAAAUACUCAUCAGCUUGUGUAAGCGGCAUCGUGUAGCUACAUUUUGACUGUCAACUUAUGUGAACAUACCCAUUUAUGGCUCGAGUGAGCAAUGAUGAAAAAUAAUAGUUUUGACCAUAUGAUUAGCACACUUUUUGUGAGCUUUCUCGCAUAUCCAAUAUUAUUCUAAGUGGUUCAACGGCCAUGAAAAGGGAAGGAAAGGUAUGCAUUCAAAUGAGUUAUAUCAUGAAAACUAUGAAAAGGAAUGAAAAAAGAAUGUUAAAUGAAAGUAUGUCUAUGUUCAUAAAAUUAAUGAUUUCUGUAAGCUUAUUCCUGCGAUAAAUACGGGUUAGGAGUGUUACAAAUAAGAUUCAAAGAAAGGUUUGACAAGUAUCUAUUCUCAAAGAUACCAUUAUUACAUUCAGUUUGUCCAAAAUUAUUUUCCCUACAACAUCAAGCAAAGAUUUUUUUUUUUUAAACUUCAACACUUUUAUCAAUUGUCACCUUAUCACCGAAAACUUUGUAGGGUGCUAAUCUAGCAAAUGAGUUUCCCCUGUAUUUUAGAAUAAAAAAUUCUAGAAUAAUUUUUGAGCCAUUUUAAUUCUGUUAAAGUUUCGACGGCAAUCGAAGCACAUGUCUUGCCAUGACCAUUAAGGUCUUUUGGAAAAUUAAAAUCAAUCAAUCUUGUCGCUAUAGUUAAAACCAUUCUUUUGGUAUAAUUUUCAAUGGCCACAAUCUUUCUUCAAUAAAUAUAAAUUUAAUUCUUCAUUUUAUUAUAAAAUUAAAUUAGUUAUAACUGAAUCAAAAUACUUACAUUUUAAAAUGAAAAUUGAAGUGGUUAAAUUCCAAAAUAGGAAUAUGUUUAUCUUCAAAACAUUCAUUAUUCACAUUUAUACAGGUAUCAAUAAUCGCAAUUAGUGAUUUCGACUUUCCUACCAUUGAAAUUUUUUUUGUCUUCAAAGCAAUUAUUUUCUUCUUCGUCGAUAAUAAUUUUUUGAAUUUUGAACAUGCAUUUAAAAGCUCGUAUGAUCGAAAUUCAUUUAUUAAAGAUGAGCACAAUAUUCCAGCAACAUUUGCAUUUAAAAGCUCUUUUAUUAUUUAUCUUUCUUCUUCAUCAUAAAAAUUUUUCCUCCUCAAAAUUUUCACAAAUUUCCCCUCCACAUCAUUUGCACAACAUUUGCACAAUUUUCCCCUUCACAUCUUUUUGAAUCUUCACAUUUUCCUUUUGUAGCUGAUAUGUUUCAGCUUUUGGUUUAACUUCUUUUCCUUUCCUUGUUCUCAUAACCUCAACAACUCCUUUUAACAUAUAAACAAAAAUUUUGUUAGUAUAAUUUUUAUAUAUCAAUAUUAAGAUUACAAUAAAAUCUAAAUAGAAAUUUAUCAAGUACAUACUCUGGCCAAUUAAUUAGUUUAAAAUAAUCUCAAUCUUUUUUUUAUAAAUGAAUCACACCCCUAAAUUAAAAAAUAUUAAUAAGUUAGUAAUUUAUUAUUGAGCUAAAAAUUUAAUUAGAGAAUGAUCAUGUACAUUGAUUUGUAUUGUAUCUCAUAUCCUAACUUGUGUUUUGAAUCUUCCACUAGAACUACAUGAUACAACCCCAAUAACCAAAUGAGCUUACCAUCUCGAUGUAGUGUAAAAAGAUUUAGCACUAUUAGUCGAAGAUGUACAAACAACUAUAUUUUCUUUCAUUGCCAAAUAUCCACCCAUAUAACUGGAUCACAGAGAUACAAAGAAAGAUUUGACAAUGUAUCUGUUCUUAAAGAUAUCAUUAUUAUAUUCACCUUAUCCAAAAUUAUUUUCCCUAUAGUAUCAAGCAAAGAAUUUUUUAAAACUUCUACACUUUUAUCAAUUGUCACAUUAUCACCGGAAACUUUGUAAGAUGCUAUCCUAGCAAAUGGGUUUUGCCAUUAUAUUUUAGAAUCGAAAAUUCCAGAAGCAUCUUUAAACCGUUUGAAUUUUGUUAAAGUUCCAACGGGACCGAAGCAUAUCCAGUGCCAUGACCAUUGAGGUCUUCGGGGAAAAUAAAAAACCAACAAAUCUUGUCGCUUUAGUUAAAACCUUUCCUUUGGUGUAAUUUUCAUUGGCUACAAUCUUUCUGCAUUAAAUAUGAAUUUAAAUCGUCAUUUUUAUGAUAAUAAUUAAAUUAAUAAUAACUAAAUCAAAACGCAUACCUUUUAAAAUGGAUAUUCAAUUGGUUAGAUUCUAAAAUAGGUAUAUGUUUAUCUUCAAAACAUUCAUGAUUCAUAUUUAUACAUGUAUCAAUGAUCGCAAUUAGUGAUUUCGACUUUUUUUCUAUUGAAAUUUUUUUGCCUUCAAAGGAAUUUUUUCCUUCUUCACCCAUAAUAAAUUUUUGGAAUUUGAACAUGCAUUUAAAAGCUCAUAUGAUCGAAAUUCAUUUAUCAAAGAUAAGCCCAAUAUUCCAGCAACACGCGCAUUUAAAAGUUUUUUUAUUAUUUAUCUUACUUCACCAUAAUAAAAAAUCUUUCCCUUCACAAUUUUCACAGUUUUCCCUACCACAUCAUUUGCACAAUUUUCCCAUUCACAUCUUUCUGUAUCAUCUCAUUUUUCUUUUGUAGCUGAGAUGAUUGAACUUUGAAUUCAACUUUUUUUCCUUUUCUUGUUUCUACAAUCUCAACAUCUUGUUUUAACAUAUAAAUAAAUAUUUUUUAAAUACAAUUUCUUUAUAUUAUUAUUAAAAUUACAAUAUAAUCUAAAUAGAAAUUUAUUGAGUACAUACUUGGACCAAUUAAUUAGUUUACAGUAAUCUCCAUAUUUAUCCAUAAAUGAAUUAAACCCCUAAAUUAAAAAAAAUAUAUUAAUAAGUUAGUAUAUUAUCAUUGAGCUAAUAAUUUAAUUAGAGAAUGAUCAUGUACCUUGAUUUGUAUUCUACCUCCUAUCUAAACUUGUGUUAUGAAUCUUCCACCAGAAUUACAUGAUCCAACCUCAAUAACCAAAGGUAUUAGCCAUCCUGAUAGAGCGUAAAAAAAAUCAGCACGAUUAUCCAAAGAUAUACAAACAACUAUAUUUUCUUUCAUGGCCAAAUAUCCUCUCAUAUUAAUUGGAUCAUAGAGAUACAAAGAAAUAUUUGACAAAGUAUCUAUUCUCAAAGAUACCGUUAUUACAUCCACCUUAUUCAAAAUUAUUUUCCCCAUAGCAUCAAGCAAAGAAUUCUUUUUAAAACUUCAACACUUUUAACAAUUGUCACCUUAUCACCGGAAACUUGGUAGGAUGUUAUUCUAGCAAAUGGGUUUUCUUCUUGUAUUUUAUAAUCGAAAAUUUCAUAAGUAUCUUUAGGCCAUUUUAAUUCUGUUAAAGUUCCUAUGGCAAUCGAAGCACAUGCAAUGCCAAGACCAUUGAGGUCUUCUGAAAAAUUAAAAUCAAUCAAUCUUGUCAUUUUAGUUAGAACAAUUCUUUUGGUAUAAUUUUCAAUGACCACAAUUUUUUUGCGUUAAAUAUGAAUUUAAAUUAUCAUUUUUAUUAUAAUAAUUAAAUUAACAAAUAACUGAAUCAAAAUACUUAAAAGGGAUAUUCAAUUGGUUAAAUUCCAAAAUAGAAAUAUGUUUAUCUUCAAAACACUAAUGAUUCACAUUUAUACAUGUAUCAUUAGUCGCAAAUAAAGAUUUAGAGUUUUCUUCCACUAAUUUUUUUUUAUCUUCAAAGCAAUUUUUUUCUUUUUCGUUCAUAAUAAAUUUUCAAGUAGUUGAAUUACUAGCUCUGAUUUCCCAUAGUUAUGAAUAUUUUUAUAAUUUUACUAUUAACAAAAAAUUGUUUAAAAUACUAGAAUGAAUUGUUCAAAAAAUUGAACAUUAAAUUUUUAUCUAAUCUUUAAAUAAUUUCUUAAAUUUUAAAAAAAUAAUAAAAUAAAAAAUAUUUAAAAAGUUUAUGUAAAAAAGAACAAUUCUAAAGUCUCGUAAAAAUUACAAAAAAUAAAAAAAUAAUUUCCAAAAUUGAUAAAAUUUAUAGAAAGUUAUAAAACUAAUAUUAACAAAAUUCUAAAAAAAUAUUGUUUUUUUGUUAUCUUGUACGAAGUUUUCAAACUUUCUCUCAAUUUAUGUCUUUUAACUUAGAAUUUAAGGAGAUUGUAAAAAAAUAAUUUUAAUUUGAUUUGUUUAAAAAUAUUUAAUUUAACUUUAAGAAAGUUGGUAUUUAACUUAAUUUAUAAAAUUUAUAAAUUGAAUUUGAUUGAUAACAUCAAAUUUAUUAAUUUGACUAAAUAAAAAGUUUUCACUUGGAUGAAUAAUCAUCUUUAAUUAUUAAAUACCUUUUAUUUUAUUAUUGUAAGUUAAAAUAAUAUAAAAGUUACUCAGUAUAUCGAUUUAAUCAUCCUUUAUCAUAGCAUAGAUAGAUACACCGUCCUAGCACAAUUAUGGUCUAGUAAAGUAGAGUGGAUACUAAAGGAAGUGGUUAACUUUUAGGAGUAGGACGCAAUGCAGAAAUUCAGAGGUGGGCAAAAAGCAGCAGAACUGAAUUUGAAGUAGUUAUCUCAAUGUCAAACAAUGCUUCGUAUUUGCAUUUGGCAUCGCUACGAGUCCCCGAUACUAGUUUCAGUAAGCCUUUUCUCCUUCCCAUGGUCUUGAUAUGUUAGGAUUUUUUUUCCAUAAUCCAAAAUGCCCUUACCCCAAAGCCAAUGUCUCUCUUUCCCAUGUCAUGUCAUGCAAGUAACACUUCAACUUCCCUUACAUCCCCCUUCACCCCCACGGUAUUUGUUUCCUUCGCCAACUCUCUCUUUCUCUCUCUCUCUCUACUUAUUCUCCACCAGUAAUCCCCAUAAAGGGCCGUGUUAUUCCUGCCUUCUCUUUUGUUUACACCUCUUAUAAAAUCUCCUCAGUCAACACCCUUCACUUUUCUACGUUAUUCGUAUGAUCCUUUUAUCUUGUCGAUUCGAUUUUUCUCUUCUUUUAAGUUUCUGCGUUCUUUAAGAGACUCUCUGUGUGUCAAAAUCUUUGUUAGAGCGAGAAAAUGGAGAAUGGGAUUGACAAAGAAAGUGGGUCAAUGUUGUUUAGUGAAGAGGAGUUGAUAGAGGUAAGUGGACUGAAGAAAGGAGGGGAUUUUGUAGAAGUGACAUGCGGGUGUACUAGCCAUAGGUAUGGUGACGCUGUUGGCAAGCUUAGGGUUUUCUCUAAUGGCCACCUGGAAAUCACAUGUGAAUGCACCCCUGGUUGCAAUGAAGGUCUCUCUUUUUUCUCUUUCUAAGCCUCUUUUUCAUCCUUUGUUUCUUUCGUUUUCUCCGUACUUUUUUAUUUUCCUUUGAUGCUACUGGAAAAUGGGUUUUGAUCUCUAUGCGUGUUUAAUGCGUAAUUUGUUCAAGUUAUGGUGGAUUUGACGUUGAUGGGUGUCGCUUUCUCUUAUUUAAUAGUGAGAAAUGAAUGAUGGAGAAUUUAGAGUCCUUUCGUUUUGGUUUCUGUUUUUACACAGUUUGUGUAUGUUGUUUUGUCUCAGUGAAUUGGUUUUCCUUGGUUGUACAACAACAAGAUGUUCAUGCAUAUUUUCGGGCGCUACUUUGGUGUCUUCUUCAAAAAAUGCUAGCUCUGAGUUUGCAUCGUCCGCAUUGUGUGUGUGUUUUUUUUUUUGCUCUUGGUAUUCUAUGGUCUUCGAUUCAGUCUUUUCAGAAUCUGGUUUUGCGAAGUUCCAUUUCUUCUGCUUCUGGCUGAACGGAGUAUUUUUUUUUUUUUGCAAGAAACAUUUAAAAUGGAUUCUUCAUAUAUAAUAUAUAUCAUUUAGAUAUUUAUGUUUUACUUCUACCUGCUCUGAUGGUAUGCCAUUGUAAAGUAUAUGGCCAGUGAGGGAUGUUUUUGAGCAUGUCCAUGCUUGGUGAUAAGCAUAGCCAUUUUUACAGGGGAUGAACGUCUUCUUUUAUGUGUUCUUUCUGUUUGCAUGUCUUUCUUUACAUGAUGCUACCAUGUGAAAAGUAUUGUGAACAUGGCUUGGAGGUUCAAAUAUUUCUAGCCUUCAAAGAUAAAUCUUCAUCUCGCUGAUCCACCACAACUUUUAGCCCCAAGUUAGGUAAAUAUUUUCUUUGUACCAUUGGUCAUUUUGGAGUUGUGGAACUCCUCGGUUCAUCCCAUUCGUUUGAUUCAAGGAGCGAUUAAUGGAAACUUCAAAAUUUUGGUUUUAUUAUUAUUAUUAAACGAGUAUUGAAUGUGGUAUAUGGUUAAGAAAAACAUACCAUUGAGCUAAUGAAAGUUUGAACAUAAAUGCACGGGUUCAAUUUCAAUUCUAACUAUUUGCAAAGAACCGAUCAGACAGGUCAUGGUUCUGGCCAACUUGUCCAUAUUUUUUCAGCACCAGUCCUUUUAACUAAAUAUAACUAAAACUGGCUUAAGCUAUCUGUACUUUUAUCUCUGCCUUUACUGCUUUAUAGAGCCUUUCAAUUUAGGUGCAUAUGACAUUAUCUUUCUCCUUAUUGUUAUAGUUCUAGUUAAUUUUUACUUCCCUAAAAAAUGUUGAAGCUUUCUUUUCUUUUUUAAUUUUAUUCUUCUUUUUUCCUUUUCUAAUCGUGUGAAUGUUCAUUAAAAUGACCAGACAAGUUGACUCCUGCUGCAUUUGAGAAGCAUUCUGGAAGAGAGACAGCUAGGAAAUGGAAAAAUAAUGUUUGGCUUAUAGUUAAAGGGGAGAAAGUUCCACUAUCAAAGACUGCAUUUCUAAAAUACUACAAUCAAGCAUCGAAAAAUGGCAAUGGUAUUCACAAAGCGCAUGGUGGAAGAGUUUGUCAUCGUGAUGAGUUUGUUCGCUGUAACAGGUGUAAGAAGGAGAGAAGAUUUCGAUUGCGGACAAAAGAGGAAUGUAGGAUUCACCAUGAUGCUUUAGCAGAUGUGAACUGGAAAUGUUCUGAUAUUCUAUAUGACAGGUUUGUCUUCCCAUUAUUGAUUAUGUUCUUAAAUGAUAAAUUGCAUUUAUCAUGUUCAAGCCUGUUGCCUCAUGCGCAUUAAGGCAUUAGCAAUUCUUAAACAUGCUUCUAAAUCCAUGUUGUAAGAAUUAAAAUGUAAUAUAUAGAUAAUGCUUGUAGUAACAAGACACUUCUUUAUCUCCAAUUUAAUAUGUAUAUUGGAGUAGGACUUUUCAAAAUCCAUAAGAUUAAUUCAUGAUCCGUUUCAUCUUUUGCUUCUCUAUCAUGAAGGCAUUUCAGGCGCUGUAGCUCAAUAUAUGACUACCUAGGAGGCAUGGACAUGAACAUGUUUUUUGACAUACCAGAAUAUGUAUCAGACUGAGUCGGAUACAAAAAAUAUAAAAUAAUAUUAUUUCUAAACGGAGUCUGAUAUAGACAUUAAAAUAUCAAAACAUUGCCUAGAAAAGAAGAAAAAGCCAUUGCUUUGGGGAGGCACUGGUGGCUGAAGAAGGUGAAGAAAAAGACAUCUACCUUGCACUGCUUGUAUUAAGCAGAGAGAAUAAAGAAACUUGGGAUUUUUGUCUAGUUAUAAAUUGGGCUUGUCAAUGAGCUGAUGGUCAAGCCCAAAUUAACAUUUCACUUAGUCUUUAUUAAGGUCCAAAAACUAAAGAAGAUAACUUAGGUUUUUGCCUAAAUGACAAUUUUAUGGCCUUUAUGUCUUGAGAUAGAAGGUUUUCUUAUAGAAAAAAAUAAUAAAAACAUUUAAACAUGGAAUUGAAUUAAUUAAAAUAUGUUUUUAAUUGUUGUAUCUUUAUCAUGCUGUGUCUUAUUUAAAAAAAAAAACUGUCAUGUUUUGUCCUGUUCCCAGAAAAGGCAUGUCUUGUUUUUCUAAAAAAUGUCAUGUUAUUAUGUUCAUGUCAUGCCAUGCGGUAAAUUGUAUUCUGCAUGCGUCUUGCUUCGUAGAUGGCUACAGGAACUAAUGAUCAGUCUAUUUUAUUCCUCUUGUAGUUUGCUUUGCUAACCUUUGUUCUUACAUUUUUGCAUAAUUUGGCCUUGCAUAUGGAGUUGAUUCUUUUGCAUAAUGUGCAUUUAGUUGAUCAAAAUGGGUAGCAGCUUUUACAUCUCAUAAAUACCUAUGGGUUCAUAGCUUCUAAAAGUUAUCAAUAUUCUUUGCCAAUGAAACAAGCACCUGUAUUGCACAUGAUCUUCACCUAAAAUCAGUGAGAUUGGAUGUUGAGAAACGUAAAAAUUAUAUUUGGUUGAAGAACCUAGUACUGAACAUAAAGCACAUAGUUUUGGCCCAAGUGCAGUUCUGGAUUAUUCACUUUUUAAGAAAUUUAUCAACCAUGCUACAUUUGACCCCAUCUUUGCGUAAAGCUGGAAACCAUUAUGAGAAGCAUAAGAUCUUUCCGUUUCAUCUAUUGGAACACAAUGUAAUUGCUUUCCUAUAUGCUCUUAUUAGAACUACCUGAUAAGGAGGCUACAAGAAAUGAGUUUGGCUGUUGAGUGUCCUUCAAAUCGGAGGAAAUUUACAGUCAAACGCUAUUUGGGGUCCAUAAUAUGAAAUGGUGACAGGUUUAUUUUUCAAAGUCAUGAAAGGGGGAAUUGUGAGAUAGGUAGGUCUUUCUCAAGGAAGGAAUCUAGAUGUCCUAUUUUACGAAUCGAUUCGUAUCCUGAUAUGCCAGAUAUGUUUCAUUGGUUGCAUCUUAGAAAAGCUGCUAGGUAUUCUUGAUUAUCUUCCAUAAAUUUUUGGCACCAAAAGAUGAUUUACUUGUGCUAUUAGAAAAUAGCUCUAUAGUAACCAGCUCGUUUUCCUUGCAUAUUGUAAAGUUCUGCUGUUCUUGCUUACCUGUCUGUUUGAUUGUUGCUUUUGGGGUUUGGAAAAUGCUUUUAGUUGGCAAGUUCACGAAAGUUAUAUAAUUUACCAGAACAUGCAGUUUUUCCUCUGAUUUGUUGUUAGUAAUAUUAUGAAUGCAAAUGCUGAAAGAGGACUUUCAAGUGUUUAUAAGUGAUGCUAAGCUGAAUUUGUUUGCAUGUGAAGGUAGUAUACACUCAUAAUUUGCUAUAUGUUAUGUAGAAUACACUUUGGCUCAGAAUUAACUUAUAUUCAAUGUUUCAGAAUAACAUGUGAUGAUGAUGAAGAGAGAGCAAGUCGCAGGGUAUACAGGGGUUGCUUCCGUUCUCCAACAUGCAAGGGUUGCACUUCCUGUGUGUGUUUUGGGUGUGAAAUCUGUCGGUUCACUGAUUGCAGUUGCCAAACUUGCAUUGACUUCAUUAGGAAUGCCGAAGCUUGAGUUAUUUUAAGGAUGGGGAUUCCUUUUUGUUGCUCUGGUUCCUUCGAAGACAUUGUCUUUCAUUACCAUUAAUUGCCAGUCCCUGAGUUCAGCACUCAUGGUGUCGUUAUCUGGCUUAAAAACUUCAUAUUAAUUUAUAUUUAGAUCUCAGCAUUGUUAUUUGGUCCAUAUUCCCAUUUCUCUUCUCUGCUAUUUGGUUUCUUUGUGGCGGUACCAAGUUUAUUGCUACUACUUAAAAGUGGUAUCUAUCUUUUGAGUAAAGCCCAGAUGGAACCGCAAUCUCCUACCCCAACCAAGGUGCAGAGUUAAAAAUACAAGAUUAGGGAGAGAAGUUAAACUAGGAUCAAACUUGUGCUGCUGCUGGUGAAACAGACACGCUAGAAACACCGUGCCCUUUCUUGCUAAGGUUUCUGUCUUUUUGAUGAAUUCAGGAAUAAAAGAGACUCCUAAUCUCAGUGGUGGUCUGUCUAUGAUUACCCAAAAAAUAUAAGCUUCUUUUUUGGAAGCUCUCCACCUUCAUUUUCUUCAUCAUAGUAGGAAGAUGAUAACCAAGAUUAGGUGUCUCUCGUCCCCAUCUUUCCCUAGAUAGGUGUACUCAGCUUAACCCUAUCAUUCUUCCAUCGUCACUCAAUAACCUGACAUCUAACAAAUCAAGACUCAACCAUCAACUCAGUUGACCACUUCCGACUGCAAAGCAAGAAGUUAUAUAUAAAUGUGUAAAUUGAAGACAUCUGUAAUGAAAGAUAAAUAGUAGGUAAAAGUAUUAUGGAGACAUUUGUAGUAAAAGGUAAAUUGCAUUUUUCACGACAAAUUAAUCUCUGAAUAUUUAAAAAAAGUGCAAAUUGGCUCUUCCCUUAAAAAUUACAUUAGUGAUCAUUUGAUAUUUUUCAAAAUUUUUUAUGCAAGUGACGUGGAAUUAAAUGAUGAAUAAGAUUAGGUAAUAAUAUCAUGAAGGUGUUUGUAUUAGGAGUUAAAUUGUAUUUUGUCUUCUUUACUAAAAAAUAGACAAAUUAGUCCUUUUACAUUAAAUUAAAGAGUAAAUUGGCUUUAUCAAUUUCUACAAGUAAGUGAUGACAUAGAUGACGAAGAAACUAGAUAGUGACAAUGGUGUGCCACAUGUACCUCAUGUUGAUUUGGCAUUUUGUCGUGUCAAUAAAUAUUUAAAAAUUAAAAAAAUCUCAAAACAAAUAAUUUUUUAUAAUUUAUUUUAAAAAUCAUGUCCAAGAUGAACUUAGAAAAAAAAUUAUAGAAAAUUAUUUAAAAAUAUAAAAAUACUGAAAUUAUUAAAAAAUAUUUAAAAUAAUGUCGAUAAUGAACUUGAACAAAUGAUUUUUGAGUGGUUUCUUAAAUAAUUAUUAAAUAUUUUAAAUGAUAAUAAUAAAUUAUUAUAAAAGGUUACUAUUAUUAUAUGUGUAUAUAUUUGAAUUAUAAGAAACUAAUAAAAAUAUUAAGAAUGUUAAUAAAUUAAUAAAAUAAGACUUAUCAACUUGAUUAGUUAAAAAUAUUAACUCAAUUAAGAAGAUACAUAUGUGUGUAUAUAUGUGUAUAGUUUAAUUCUUUAAACAUGUUAUAUGUAUGUCUAUAUAUAAUUUUUUUAGAAAAUUAUUUAUUAUUUAUAACUCUUAAUAAUUUUUAAAUAAAUUAUAUAUAUAUUUUUUUUUACAAUUAUUCAAAAAAUCAUUUGUUUAAAUUUGUCCUAGAUUCUAUUUAAAAAAAAUUAAAAAUCAUUUAUUUUUUAGGAUUAAAAAAAAGAUUAAUUUUGAAAAGAAGGAAAGAAAGAUGAAAACCAAUAAAUUAUAGUGAACUGAGCUUGGUUAUUUGGAUUUGGAUUUGCACAGAUGAGUAGAUUGAUUUGAUUAUUACUGUGAAUGGACACACUAACUCUAGCUUUACACCAUUUCCUCUUUCUAUUACAAUAGGUAUGCGUUUGAUUCUUAAACAACAUAUCAGAAUCCCACCUACAUAAUUAGCAUUUUUGCGUUUCAUGUUCACCCCCCGAAAGGUGGGUUGCUACUUCCCCUCCAAACAAAACUAACUAAAUAUAAACAAUACAAAGAGAUGGAACUUUUAUUAUAUUUAAAUUUAAAUAUGGUGUCCUGACUUGCAAAAUCUUAAAUGCUACCAAACAAAACGGAGCAAUAAAGCCAAGAGUUUUAUACCAUUUUGCUCACAUGAAUAUAUUCAAUGCGUGUAUAAGUAUUGGUGAAAUGAAAUCUGCAUUUUGAUGUAUGAACUCAUGUUUAUUUAAUUUGCAUUUUUAUAUUUAAAAAUUUAAAUCUCCUUUUAUUUUUUAAAAUAUUUUUUUUGUUUUUAUUUUAACAAAUAUAUAUAAAAAAAGCACAUUUGAUUUCCUAGAAUAGAAGCAUUAGAAGAAAAAAAGAUUAGAAUCAUAGUAAGUGUUUUGAUUUUUAAAAUUUGUUGAAAAUUAACACUUUCUUUUUUCUAUUUAUAUGAGUUUGAAUUAGCACCAAUUUACUAAUUAAAUUUAAAGUUAAAAAACUUUUAAAAAAAUUAUUUAAGUUUUUCACAUAUAUUUAUUUUUAUUUUAAAAAAUUUCAACUAAACAUUUUUCAGUAUUUCUUAUUCAAGAAAAAUGAAAACUAAAACGAAAAUGGUUCUAUUACGUGACACCAAAUGGAGCCAAAAUUUUGCUCAAUUUCAUCUUAAUUUAUUUUCAAUAUACAAUAAAGCAUUAUCAAGUCCAUGAGCCACUAUCCUUAGUGAUGAAGAUUCAACACUUCCGGUCUUUCUUUUUUAGCAAACUGAAAUUUCGUUUCAAAGCAGAGAAGUUACAACUCAGUAUGAGCAAUAAGAUCAUGAGGGGGAGACACCACACAGUCCUUACCAUCAUUUCCAGAUUUACCAUUGUUUGCACUUUGUUACUUUCACCACUAACAAACGAGAAUACAACAAUUUUGAAUGUGGAAAUAGAUAAAAUGUUAUGUUUAACAAGACUUCCAUGACACCAAAAUAAAAAUAAAAAUGGAAGACCUACGGUGAUUACCACAAUCUAAUUAUAAAAAAUUUUAUUCAUUAUUUGUCUUAGAAAUUACAUCAAUUUUCUCACUUCCAUAUUUAAAUUUGUUUUUGCUCUGAUUUGGUAUUUGAACUUUGAUCCUUUAUCAUUUUUAAUACUUAAAAAUUGACUAAUAAUAACGUGUCACACCAUUAAUAAUAUGACAUAUUGAUCAAUGAUAUGAUACGUUGACUAAUAACAUUAUAAAGUGACAAAAGUAAUUUAGGUCAAAAUCACUAAAUUAAAAUUAUAAAAGAAAGUAAGAAAGGUAUUUAAAAAUUAUAAAAAAAAGGGUAAAACUUAUUAAAACAAUACAAAUACAAAAGUGAAAGGAGCCAAUUAUGAGCGGUCUGUUAAUAUGGUAUUUUUCUUAAUCGUACAUUAGUUUUUUGUUAAAAAUAAAAGGCUUAAAAUGGGUCUAAAUGAUUAGUCCUUUUGCGUUCGCUUCAACUCUCUCUUUUGACAUAUCUUAGUUGUAUUUUCCCUCAUUACUGGAAUUGGGUCCCCUCAUCUUAAAUGUGAAAGCAUUCCAGCAUUUCAAUUAUUGACAUAGAAAAGAAUGUUCUAGGACUGUGAUUUUUGUUAAUACCACCAUUUUGCCAUGCCAUUGCGAUUAAUGAACAGAGUAGCAUACUUUUUUUUGGACAAGGUGCAAGUUCUCUUUUUCAAAUUUAUAGACACGUACAAUGAUGCUAAUCUAUGCUAGUGCUGGUGCCCAGUUUAUAGUCUAAUAUUCCCCAACAUUAGUUUCAAAUUACCAAAUCUGCUUAACGUAGGAACUUUCAGUAGGAUCCAAAAUGAUCAUAUAAGAAAGCAUGGAUAAGCAUAAUAGGUCAUAAUUUAUAACUAAUGUGGAAAUUGAGAUACAUGAUUACUAGACAAGAAAUAGAUUCCAACUGGAAAAUGCAUACAGGAGUAGACUCUAGACUUCACUAAAAUGACAAACUCGAAUUCAGAUCACUUUAAUUAUGUGAAUGAAUACGAUAGACUACAAUGGAACCCCUAAAGACUCAAUGCAGAUAAUUGAUUCCCUUUAUUCUUAGAUUUAUUGGAAGUUUCAUAGCCAAGCAUGUUCAAGGACGUGGGUUUGUUCCUGCAAUGCCAGCACCAUGACCUGCUGGAAUUGGCACCUCAAAACCAGGGUUUGGAACGAAUGUGUCAUCACCACCUGGAAUCUGGCGAUUUCGGCCAAUUGUGCUGCCAACGUGGCCGCCACUGCUGCCGGUGUGGGUGCCAGUGCCGAUAGUGUGUGGAUUGUGAUGUUUGAAAACUGGUGGCAGCAACACUCGUCCAAGGCCUGGAAUGAGCACACUACGGUCAUGUUUUAGAUAUUCAGGCUGUUUCAUUUGAUCAUCAUUCUUCGAGAUGUCACGUGCUGCAAUGGCUUGCCCAGCAAUAACAAACAGAAUGCUGAGGAUGAAAACGUGAGAAAGCAAGGAACUAAUUUUGCAAGCCAUUAUCAGAGUAAGUAAGAGUGAGAGCUAGGAUUGGUUCUGAUAUGAUGGAGAGAAGGGAUUAAAUAAUGCUUCUUAAAGAGAAGGUCUAAGUGAGUUGGUUGAUCAAUUGGCGGUGAGUUAGAAAGAGCAUUCCAUUUUGAAAGCACCAUUGAAGGAGACGUUCCAUAAAAACAGAAGCAAAGCAUUCAAUAAUGCAGCAUGAAUUGCAUGGGUAGGUUAGGUGGCUUAGGGUUUGCCAUGUUGGGUGAGGUUUAUGGGGUAGUUAUGAGAUUUUUCUCUUCAAAGGCUACGUAUCUAUACUAAAAACGCUUAGAUUAUAUUUACGUUAUGUUUUUAUAUUAUAUUUUUGACUAAUUCGUUCUUUCAUCAUAAUUCUAUCGAAAAUUUAGAUGAAUAUACAUCUGUCAUGUAAGAUUUACUUGCCUUUCUCCACAACUUAUAAUUAUCUUUUUUUUUUUUUUGUUUUGGUUUAGGAUUUAAGCAAUUCAACUUAAUAUUAAUUGAAAACAUGUAAACAAAAUCAUAUAAAAAUAUUUGACAUAGGAGUGAUAAUAGCUGACACAAAAGCUUUGUUAUGUUGUAAAUUCAAUGAAUAAUAGGCAUGUAUAACAUACAAUGAAAAAAAUGUGCUUUUUUAUAAAUAUAAUAUUAUCAUGUACAUAAACUUUAACUAUAGCUCCAAUCAAAUCUGGGUAAAGAAAUUUUUUAAUACCAUAUUAAAAUAGAUAUAAACUUAUUUGUUUUUUAAAAAAAUUAAAUUGAUUAAAAAAAAACAUAAUUUAUUAUUGGUGAGAAUAUGGUCUAAGCACUUAUACUUUUUACACUUUGGAAUUUAAUUCCUCUACUUAUAUUUUUAGUAAUUUAUUUCACGUAUUUUUAAAUUUAUUAAUAAAAUAUUUUAAAAUAAAAAAAUAUUUACUUGAUAGUUAUAUAACAAAAACAAAUGAUAUUAUAAUAGGAUUAAAUUUAAUAAAAAAAAUUGACAAUUAAACUUAUAUUUUUAAAUUUAAAAAAUAAAGAGACUAAAUUGAAAGAUUAAAUUAUAUGAAAAAAUAUAUAACGUAUUUAAAUUUAAAUUUGAAUAUGAUGACCCACAAAUAGUGACUUGCAAAAUGUUGAGUGCUACCAAAUAAAACGGAGCAAUAAAGGAUUUUAUGCAUAAAGCCUAGAGGUGUAAACCAUUUUGCUCACAUGGAUAUAUUCAAUGUGUGUAUAAAUAUGGGUGAAAUGAGAUUUGUCUAUUGAUUAUAAAGCAAUGCUUAUUUAACUUGCAUUUUUACAUUUAAAAAAAACUAAGGCUCCUUUAUAUUUUUUAAUUUUUUUUGUUUUUAUUUUAAAGCCGAUAUUUUUAUUUUUUAAAUUAAAAAACAUCUUUGGUAAAAAGAAAUAUUUUCAGUAAUAUAAAAUUACGAUUCAUAUUUAUUUCCUAUAAUAGAAACAUGAGAAAAAAAUAAAAAUAAAAAUUGCAUUUAUAUAUUUUGGAUCUAUGGUAUUUAAAAUUUCUUGAAAAAAAAAUUCUUUUUCGGGUUUGAAUUAGAAUCAAUUCAAUAAUUAAAUUUAAAUUUAUUUUUAAAAUUUUUUAGUAAAAAUAAUUUUUUAUUAUUUCCUAAUUUUUAUAUAUUUUUAUUUUUAUUUUCAAAAUGUUGUUUUAAUAAAAUUUCAACUAAACAUCUUUUAGUAUUUCUUAUUUAAGAAAAACAAAAACUAAAAUGAAAAAGUUUCUAUUUCGUGACACCAAAUGGAGACUAAAUUUUGUUCAGUUUCAUCUUAACUUGUUUGUAUUUAUUUUCAAUAUAUAAAAGAGCAUUAUCAAGUCCAGGAGCCACUGUCCCUAGCCAUGAAGAUUUAACACUUUCGGCCUUUCUUUUUUUAGCAAAGCGAAAUUUCGUUUCAAGGUAGAGGAGCUACAACCCUGUAAGAGUAGUAAGAUCAUGAGGGGGAGACACUACCCACCUAUUACCACGGUGAUAUCGGUUCGGUCAAAUUUUUAAAUUUUUUAAUUUGUCUAUCAUAAUUUGAUUCCAUUCUUGAUUUUUCAUAUAAUUUUUUAUUUUGAUUUUCUAGACUUAUCUUGAUGGCAUGAAGACAAAAUUUUAAAAUUUUUUCAUAAAUAUUUCUAAAAAAAAUAGUUUUUCAAAAACUUUUAAAUUAUUUUAACUAUUUUAAAUAUAAAAUAUUUAUUUUUAUAUCAUGAAAAAUUAAUGUUCAGUUUGUUUGCUAGGAAAAUGUUUUCUGGAAAAUAAUUUUUGAAAAAUGAUUUACUUUUAUAGAAAUGAUUUACUUUUCUGGUGUUUGGAUGAAUUUGUGUAAAAUAUUUUCUGUUGUUUAGCAGAUUUCCUAAAAAUAUUUUCUGGAAAAGUUAUUUUUACAUAUAUUAAUAAAUUUAUAUAUAUAUAUAUAUAUAUUAAUAAUUUAUAUUUUUAAAUUGUUUUUACAUAUAUUGCAAUGAUAUAUUUAUAAAUAAAUAAAUCAAAUUAAAUAUAUAAUAAUACUUAAUUAAUUGUAAUAAGUUAAAUAAAUUAUUUGUAAUUGUGUUACAAAAAAAAUAAGGAUUGAAUAAUUAUAAAUUAGCAUCCAAACCACAAUUAAUAGGAAUUAUACGGUUGAUGAACCAUGUCUUAUUAAGAAAAGAUGAAACCAAAAAUAUGAAACUUGAAAUAAGAUUCGUAUUUGACAUUAAAGUGAACCAGGGUCUCGUACAAAUAUCCAUACAACAAAAUUGUGGGUAUAUAUGUUGCUGUAUUCCAUAUCUAAAUGUCAAAGACAUAUAAAUUGUUAUAUAUUGCAUUUUAUAUAAUAUCAAGAUCUGCUAUACAAGCAUAUACACAAUUGAAGAGGGUAGUUACGUUAAAAAUGCCUACAAAAAUGAAAAGCAAUUCCUGUAUGCCUACAAAAAUGCCUACAAAAAUCAAUUCAAGAAGAACCCUGGUAGAUAUGCCUGGCAACACUGGAAGCAAUUCCUAGAUAACCUGAGCAACAUUUACACCCUGUUGAUGUUUAACAAAAUGAAAAGCAAUUAAUGAGACAUGAAGAAUGUAUAAUAAUUGCUAAUAGAGAGAUAAGUUUGUUCGUAAAUGGUUUCGAUUUGUUAAAACUGCAAACUUUGGAGUACCUGACUUGACGACGUUGAUAUUGAACUUCUCGCUGUUAAGAAUUUGAGAAUUUUUUGGACAUUAUUUAGUAUAACUCUAUCUUCCUCAGUUAUUGAAGGCAAAAGUCCUGCUGGUUUGAAGGGUCCAACUAUUGGAACCAAGCUAAACACUGGGGCAACAUUUCUUACUCCCAACAUUGACAUUAUUUGAACCAACUGUUCCCUGAUAACGAUAUGUUUGGCAAUGCUUUUGAAAAAUGUUUUUGAAAAGUGCUGUGGAAAAGUACUUUUAAGGAGUGCUUUUGAAAAGUGUUUUUGAAAAUUUGAAUGUUUGUUAUUACUGUCAAAAAGUACUUUUGAGAAAUAAAAUGUUCAUUUUAGACAUGAUAUUAUAAAGUAACAAAUAUGUAUUUAAAUAAUGUUCAAAUUAGUUAAUAUUAUGAUAUUUUAGCAAUAAUAUAAAAAUAAUUUAUUAUAACUUAUUGUUAAUAUUUUAAUAUAUAAUAUUAAUUUUAAAUAUUUUUAAGUAAUUUAAAUUUAAUUAGAAUAUAUAAACUAUAUUUAAAUAUUUAAAUAUAAUAAUUAAAUAUUUGUAGUUAGAUAUUGACAUAAUUGUAUUAUUUUAAAAAUAUUUUUUUUAUUUUUAAUUAAUGAUUUUAACACAUUUGUAUUAUUUUAUUUUAAAAUGUACUUUGAAUAUAUAACUCAUAUUAAAUAUUAACAUAACAUAGAAAACAUAAACCUAGCAAAUUAAAAUAUUACAUAUAUUUGGUUUAAAGUUUCAAAAAGGGAUAAUAUUUAUAUACCAAAUAUAAAUACUAAAAAUUUUAUUUUUUUAUAGCAUAUCUUGUUAAUUCCAUUUCAAAACCACUUGAAUUGUUUGAUUCACCGUCAUCAUCACCAUCAUCAUCGUCAUCAUCAUCAUCACUUUCUCAACCAUGCGCAUUUUCUGAAUCAAUAAUAUUCUCAUAUGCCCAGUUAAUAUCUUCGUAUUCCAUAAAAUCUGCAUUAUUUUGACCGACAUGUUUUCUGAUAAAAUUGUGUAUCGCCAUUGUAGAAACAAUGAUCAUCGUUUGCUUUUCAAAACUAUAACUUGUCAUAUCCCUUAAAAUGAUCCAUUUUUUUUCAAAACACCAAAAGUUCGUUCAAUCACACUACGUAAUGAUGAAUGUGAAUGAUUGAAUAUCUCUUCUUGACCAGAUACCGGUCUACCUCUACGAAAGUCAAGUAAAUGAUAUCACUGACCUCUAUAUGGUCCAAGAUAACCUUUCAUUUGAGGAUAUCCAGAAUCAACAAGAUAAUAUUUUCCUACAUGUCAUAAUAUAACAAACAAUUAAUUCAAGAAUUAUUUUUUAUAAAAAUUAUCAAUUAAAGAAAUUUUACUUUAUUAUUUAAGAAAGAAAGAAAUAAAUGAAAUACCUAACCAUUUGGUGGGUGCGGAAAUUUGUAUUUUGGAUCUCGAAUUGCAUCAAGAAAUAUUCUAGUGUCAUGUGCCGGUCAUUUCCAUCCAGCCAUGACAAAGGUGAAACACAUAUUAAAAUCACACACUACCAUAACAUUUUGACAUUUUCUUCCAAUAUAGGGAAUUUGUUCAUUUGGUGGAAGAAUAGCGGCAAUAUGAGUACCAUCAAUUGCACCAUGCAAUCUUGAACAAAUAAUCAUAUUAGUCUCUUGCAUAUUUUUAGUUGACCAAAAAUAUUAAAAUAUAAUAAUAUAAAGUUAAAUUUUAACCUUAAAAUGCGGCAUAUAUCUAGAAUCAUUACAUAUUUGUUCGAGUAUUGAGCUAAAAAAAGGAUCUUCGGGUGCAAUUAGAUCAGCGGCCAUCCUUGAAACUUUCUCAAGCACAAUUGCAAAGUAUCGACUUAUUGUUGAUCCAGACCUUUGAAAUCUUUCUCGACAUUGGAAAACUUUUGCACCGGUGCCCAAGAUGUAUAAAAAAAUUCCCGACAUUUCACUAGAAGAUAUGUUUCUUAAAGUUUGCAAGUUGUAUCUUGUCUCCAAAACUCUCAACAAACUUGUGAAUACCAUUUUAGACAUUCUAAAAUUAAUCAUACAAUGUGAUUCGUGACCGUCAAGGAUCUCUCGGAUCCAUGUCUCCCCUGUCUAUUUUGAAUCCAUGCAUAGUUGCUUCAAUAUAUACUUCUCGUAAUAUAAUUGCACAGAAGAAGAUGCAACAACAAACAAUCGGUUAAAACAUUCCACGUGUUGUAAAAUAUCUUUCUUUUCCCUUUCAUCAUCACUUUCAUCACCACUGGAAUUCUCAACUAUACUCAUCACCUGUGAAUAAAUUUUAUAUCCAAAAUCAUAUAUAAACAACUAUUGAUAAAACUAAUUUAGUAUAAAUAAGUAGAACAUAAAUUUAAUAUCCAAAAAUCAAACAUAAUCAAUUAUUGAUAAAACUACUCCUAAGCAUAAAUAAUUAGACCAUAAAUUCAAUGUCCAAAUACCAACCAUAAACAACUAUUAAUAAAACAAGAUUACACAUAAAUAAGUAGAACAUAAAUUCAAUAUCCAAAAACUAAACAUAAACAAUCAUUGAUAAAACUAGAUUACACAUAAAUAAGUAAAACAUAAAUUUAAUAUCCAAAAACCAAACAUAAAUAACUAUUGAUAAAACUAGUUUAGCAUUGUUGUUUAGUAACAUAAUAUAUAUCUUUGAACCCUAGAAGAUUAGAAAAUUUUCAACUAUCCUCCAUUUCCGUCUUAAGCCACAAAGCUCUAAUCUUGGGAUUAAUUGAUAAAAACAUAAUUCGCUUGUCCUUAUUGAGCAAUAAUUUAAGUAAGAAAAAAUAUAGCGGGCUAGCUUCUGGAACUUCUUCCGACAUGCUGUCAAGCACCUUGACUACUUGUGGAAUACCAUAUGGAUCCAUAACAGGAGUCAAACUAGAUGUGGCUUGACUCAUAUUGUCAGCUGCAUUGCAUAAUUUUUCUAUUUGACUGGACAAUCUUGCAGCCCCUCCAAUUUGCUUUGAGGAUUUCUUUCUUCUUAUUUUAAAAUGUGAACUUGAUAUCUCAGGGUUUUUUCUUUUUUGACCGUUUCCAUCAAUUUGAACAUCAUUUGAAAUGUGAACAUCAUUUAAAAUGUGAACAUCAUUUCUCACAUUUUCUUCUUCAUUCUUUUCAAGUAUUUCAUUGUUAAUAUCCUAAAAAAAAUCACUACGGAGUGUACCAGAAGAAAGUGCCCAUGCUUUAUCACCUGUUGCAACUAUCCCCAUGAAUAUUUGGUCCAACUUCUCUUCGAAUUCAAGAUCAAUGCUCGAUGCUCUAAAUUUUUAAGCUUUAGGCACAACCUACAUAUAAAAUGAUAGUUUAAUAACAGUAAUUAUCAAUAACCUCAUAAAUAAAAAGAAAACAAAAAUAUUCAGAAUUAUUAAUGUACCUUUAGCCUACUCUUCCACCAAUCAUCCGAUGCAUCAACGGUUCUUUUUAUAGGAUUCCACCCUAGUCCAAUAUCUUUGCCUUUAAGUUUCUUCCAAGCUUUCCAUUCUUUUUUUAGGCAUCCCACCUAUUUUUAAGUUGUCUUUGUGAAAAAGCCUUGCCCGUUUCUUUCUCAAAGUUGGUCAUUAUUUUCAACCAUCCAUAUUUUGUGAAAUGAGUACCAGGCCUAUUGCCUUUCAAUAUCUCUUUAAUACAAAUAUCACAAAAUAUUUUUGUUAAUCUCUUAUCCCACAUUGCUUUGACUUUUUCACCACUAACUUCAACCGCCGAAGUACUUAUUUAUUGUGUAUACGAACAGAUUCGUUUCAGCCAGUAAAACAAUCAAGAAAAUCAAAUGUCACAUAUGUAUUUUUUUUACGUGUAUCAAAAUCUAGAUAGGAUCCUAAUAUUUUUUUUUUCUCAAUCAAAUUCAACUUUCCAAGACCGGAAUAAUAACCAAGAAAGAGAACACAACUAAUAAUAGCAUCAAACACAAUUAAAAAGUCAAUAUUGAAUGAAACUGAUUGAGUUAUUAGGAUUGUAUAGUGCACGUUAUGCCAUAAGGCUGAUAAUUUUUAACAUCAUGUUCACUAGUUAAAUGGUUGUAUCAACUUUUUCUCACAACUAAAGAUAAAAAUAUUCUCCAUAUACCAUAUUUGGAAAGUUAUAUGGAUAUUAUAGACCAGAUCAUAAAUCAUUAAACCAUGCAACUUUAAUGGCAAAACAAACAUACUAAUAAAACAUAGAGAGGCUGUUUAAUGCUAAAACAUAUACAAGCUAAAACUGCAUAUGGUCAAUUGAAAAUAUCUAUUAAUUUACAAUUUAUGUAAUACUUUUGAAGGAAUAAAACACCAAAUUACUACUGCAUGACAUCAUGAAAUGACCAUUUGGAAAUGAAAAAAAAAUCACAAAACAAAGAUCAAAAUGAAAAUAACAAGUUGAGAAAGCUAUAAUAAUCUUAAAAGAGUAUAAAUCAAACAAACCUAGAAGUAAAGGAAAGAAAAUUUACACAACUUAUAUAGUACAAAAUAAAUAUAAAAAUUCAAGCUUUCGUCUAUCUAUCUGUCUAUAUAUAUUACUUUAUCUAACAAAUCCAAAUUAGCUGAAAAAUUUACAUUAUCAUCCAUAUAAUUUACGCAAAAAUAUCCUAGUUAAGAACAAAAAUCAAAGAAACAAAUAACUUAAAUCCACCAAAUUUUAAAAAAGAAAAUCUUGACAAGCAAAUCUUUAUGAACCCAAAAUUUUGUUCAUUAAUAAGAGUAAAACACCAAAAAAACAAAAUCCUCAACCUCUAAGCAUAGGGGUAGAGAAGCCAAAAAUGAGAAGCAAAGGGUAAACAAACAUGAAAUUUAAAACAAACCCGAAAAAAGUUCACCCAUAAAUAAUGAAAAGAAGCAUUGAGAAACCAAAUAAUAUUAAACUCAUAAAGAAAGAAAAAAAGAGUAUUUUAGAGGGGAGAAAGAAAGGAAAAGCCAGCAAAUAUAUUUACCUGAGAAAAUAGUUGAAAUCUUUGAAGAGAAAAGAUAACUAAAGAAAGAAAUGGGAGCAAAACAGAGACAGGAGAUGGGAGGGGAAUGGAUUAUGAAGCAUGUGACAGUCUCCUAUAGAUAUAGAGACAAAGGCCAUUAAUUUUUUUUUAAUGCAUAAUGAACAUUUAAAGAGAAAAAGAAGAAAAGAGAGACUCACCUGUGGAGAAGAAGAACCAGAGGAAAAGUAAAGUUCAGACAAAUGAAAAAAUGGGGAAAAAUAGGUAUAACGUUUGAAAAAAUGGAAAAAAAGGAAGAGAACAAAUAGGGUUAAAAAAGUAAUAUCAACCUUAAAAGUACUUUUGGCUGAAAAAAGCACCAAAUUUCUACUUUUUCAUCUGAGAAAAAAAGACUUUUUUUAAGUUGAAAAAGCUUCUACUUUUUACCUCUGUUCUUUAUUACUUUUUAUGUAAAAGCAUUUUUUUCCCUAAAAGCUCAUCUAAAAAUCAAUGUCAAAUGCAACCUAAGUGCAUCAAUGCCCUUUACAAUCUGCUUAGCAAACCCAGAAACAUUAGUUCGAUAUUUAAGCAACCUCACACCAAAUUGUCAUAAAGAAUUUAUGCUCAAAAGGUAAAACAAUUAUAUAACAAAAGACCAAAAGAGAAACAUGAAGAAACUUGGUAAAAUAACACAAGCGUGCAACUUUCUCAAAGAAAAUGAUUAUAACCAACCAUUUUUUUCCCUUCUGAAUAUUAGAUCAAAAAUUACCUCAUCAAGAAGAAAUUCUCGAAAAAAAUUUCUCUUCUCAGACAGUAGAAAUCCUAAGGCUGCUCUUGUUUGAACAAGUUGCUUUGAUUGAGAUUCACUUAGUAGAAAUCUAGGGAAGGAAAUAUCUGCUUACCUUUGUAGAAGACCUAGUUCAAUCAUAUCCCCAUUCAAAUUCUCCCCACCUCCACUUUUUGCUGUAGUUAUGAAAUUCUCAAAGGCUUGCAUCACAUCAAUGAAUCUUUCAGCAUAAAAAACACCUAAUUUCCCGUAUAUUAUAUAACGCAAAGCAUUCUUAGCCACGGGGAUUCAUCAGUGAGUAGUCUCUAACAAUAGAAAAUAAUACAAGGAAAUGGUAAACGUUAUGAUCAGAAAAACAUUGACCACUUAGGAAGACAAAGCACAACAGCAAUGAUACAAAUGUUUGUGCACUCUUUCAUCUUGAUCCUAUACUUUGGAAAUUGGUUAGCCACAUGGAUCCUUAGACAACCUUAAGAAUUGUACUUAAGACAAUAACAUUGAUUUGUUACAUCAAAAGAAACAUGGUAUCCUAGAAGCACUCUUCGGCUAUCAUAAUUUAAUAAAAUAAAACUAAUGAAUCAAACAAUUAACUAUUUAGUCAUCAGAAAUUCAAAAUAACAAUAGUCAGUGCAUAUAUCACAUUAUCCUUACACUUAUAAAUCAAUUUAUUUUCAAAAUAGAAUUAGUAAAAAAAGAAUAUUCAUACCUGUGCAAUUUAAGGAUAGGCUUCAUCCACGAUAGCAAAAUUAGGAUUCGCCACUAAAGCUAUUCCUUCCAACACCCUAAUUGCCCUGAUUAUAAGAGCAAAAUAAGGAGGUAUCCUAAAUGGAUAAUAAAAUGUUAUCUGUGCCAAAUCUGAUGCCAAGUCCUGAAAGUUGAUGUUUUUUGCGCCCCCACCCUCAAGUGCUUAAUCAAAAACCUUUACCAGAACGGGCAAAAUUGGCAUAAAAAAGGAGAAGAGUAAUAAGAUUUGCUCAUGAAUAUUACACACUAUAACCAUGUCGAAGAUAUGCUUAUAUCAAAACACUCACACAGAGUAACAUGGAAGAAGAUUACUUGACAUAAAAAGAACGUCCUAAAAACCCUCUGAUUGCUACAUACUUACCUCUUUUCAACUUUCAAGCUAUUGACACUAGGUUUAUGAAAAUUUCCCUUGAUAGACGAUUUGAUUUCAAUUUCAACAUAUUCCAAGCCAAGACAAGCUAAAUAAGUUAUCAUACAAUUUCAUUUCAUAUCAAUGUUAUAAAUAAAUACCCUAUCCUUUAAGAAAGACAAAGCAUCUUGUGAAAAAAGUUGAGAGAAAUAAAAUCUGCGUCAUCCAAAAGUAACUUUAAAAUCGAAGAAAUAAAAAAAGAAUUUACCUAUUUGACUAAGAAGUGUGGGUUUGCAGGAGUUGUGAGGAAGAAGCUGAGAAAGAGGAAAUAUAUAUAAAUAAAAAAUAAUUAUAAUUGAUACUAACAGUAAAACAGAAAAAGAAGAAUACAAGGGUAGGAGGGAAAAGAAGGGAAAGGAAAGGAAAUGGAGGAAAGAAACUAAAAUGAGAGGAAUUGCUGCAGUGGAGCGGCAGAAAGGAAGAAGGCGUUUGGCUGAAGGAGGGUUGACGAGAAAACAAAAGUGGAAAAUUAUGUGAGGAUUAAAUCAGAAAAAUUCAUUCUAAAACUGCUAUUGACAAUUUAUAUAUAAAAGAGCCAAAAUCACCUAUAAGUUGAAUCACUGGUUGAUAUAAGGAAGAAAAUGAAAGUACCUAGAAAAGAAAGCACUAACAUAAACCCAGAAAGAAACAAAAAUUGAAACGAAAAGAAAAGGUCAACAAUUCGAAAACAAACUAGCAAUGAAUUGAAACAAAACUUAACAAAUUAAAGGGUAUGAUCUUUGCAAUUAAAAGCAUCUUACAAAGUAUUGGGAAGAAGAAGACGGUUAAAAAUAAAGAAACAAUGAAAGGCAUAAAAUCGGUUAAAAUGUGGACAAGUAAAGAACAAGAAGAAAAACAAAAGCUUUACCUCAGAAAGAGAGAAAGAGAGGAAAAGAAACAACAUCGUGUAAUUUGCCUGAGAGGAGAAGAUAUGGGACGGACUGAGGAAAAAGGGAGAGAUAAUAAGAAGAUGAAGAAUAGAAGAAGGAUAGUACUUUUACUUGGAUGAAGAAGGAGAUGGAAAAUGUCUUACAAAAAAAAAAAUCCCUAAGACAUUUUCCCUAAAACGAAUGAGAUUUUACCGUAUCUUGGAAAACAUUUUCCAAAUGUAAAAUGUUUUCAUGCUUCCAAAUAUGGUAAAAUCAGGAAAUAUUUUCUUGAUAAACAAACGGAGCCUAAAAAUAAUUAUAUAUUAAAUAAAAAAUUAAAUUCGAUUCAAUUUUAGAUAAUUAUGAUUUUUAAACUUACAUUUCAUAAAUUAAAAUAUUUCAAUCAAAUCAACUUUCGAUUUAAUUGAUUUUUUUCUCAACCCUAACUGUUACCAUCAUUUCCAGAUCACAUAUUUUAUAUUUUACAACUCAAUCAACAAUUUUAUUAUUUGAGCAACUAACAAAUGAGAAUUCGACAGACUCAAAAAAGAACAAAUAGAUAAAAUGUCAUGUUUAAAAACAAGAGAGCUCCAUGACGCCAAAAGAACGGAAGACCUAAGACAAUUCAUCGCAUUGCCACAAUCUAAUUAAAAAAGAAUUUAUUCACUGCUUGGUGUCUGAAUUAUAUCCAUUUUUUUUAUUUUAAUACUUGAAUUUUAUUAUAUUUUUUUGUACCUAAGAGCUAACUGCGAUAAAAAAAAAUUGAUAUUGAUAACAUGACAUAUCGAUUGAUAAUGUGGCAUGUUGACCAAUGAUAUUGUUGGUUGAACAAAAUUAAUUGGUUAUUGACAAGUCAAAAUUAUUAAAUGUAAAAGAUUAUAGAAGAAUUGUAAGACUUGUUUUUAAAAAUUUUGUAAAAAUUAUUUAAAAAUAUUAAAAAAGUUGUAAAAAACACUAAAAAUCAUAGAAAACUGUAAAACUUAUUAAAACAUUACAAAAUUUGCAGGUUGCAGUGUGUUUGCUUAAUCCGUUGGGUAGUACAUAUUUUGUAGUAUUUAACAGUUUGAAGUUGCAAAAUAAAGAAAUGCCAAAUCAUGGAUUUUUUAUCAUUCAAGAUACAAAAUUUCAAAAAGGCUAAUAAAAAAUAUUAUGCUUUUCUACAAAAAAGAUGAAGCUUGUACUUAUUGUGGAGAAAUAAGAAAAUCUUAUACUUGUUACGGUUAUAUGAGUAGUUCUGCUAAAAAUGUAUUUAUUAAGAUUAAAAUAAAAGACAUUUUAUUAGUCAGCAAGGCCAUUAAGUUGAGGUUUUAAUUUUUUUUUUAUAAAUAUGGUUUUAAAAAGGGUUAAUAUCACAAAUUGCCAAACAUAGGACAUGGAACAUGUAUUUCUUUGGUGCCAAUUUGCUCGAGCAAUAUGAAGUUAUUUGGGGUUCAAGUCAUGCAGGGUUUGGUCCAAUAUUUUAUCAUCACGAGUCGAAAAUCCUUCAAUGCAAUUAAAACCCAAGUCCAACCAGCACAAAAGCGAGGCGAAGGGCGACAGAGACAUGGUUAACAAAGCUUAAUCAUACGAUAGGACCAAAUUGGGAGUGAGAAGGAAAUGGGGACAGAAGGAAGAUUGGAAUGGGGAAAAGGAGAACAGAUUCGUAGCUAAAACCGAUAUUCCAAGAAGCUGGGAAGGGGUUUCCAUCAUGAAAUGGUAGCUAAAAGUGAAGAAACUCGGGGAGGUUCUACAGUUUCACGGGGAGACAGAACAAAUAGAACUAGUUAAAGGAGUCAAUUAUGAGUGAUCUGUUAAUAUGGUAUUUUCCUUAAAUCAUAUAUUAGCUUUUUGAUAAAAAUAAAUGGCCUAAAAUGGGUCUUAGCCAAUCUGCAUUCUCUUCAGCUGUGACCUUUGGCGUGACUUUGUUGUAUUUUCCCUCAUUACUGGAAUUGGGUCCCCUCAUCUUAAAUGUGAAAGCAUUCCAGCAUUUCAAUAAUUGACAUAGAAAAGAAUGUUUUAAGGCGGUGAUUUUUGUUAAUACCACCAUUUUGCCUUGUCAUUGUAGUUAAUGAACAGGGUAGCAUACUUUUUUUGGACAAUGUGCAAGUUCUCUUUUUCAAAUUCAUAGACACGUACAGUGACGCUCGUCUAGGGUAUUGCUAAGUGCCCAUUUUAUAGUCUAAUGUUCCAUAAUAUUAGUUUCAAAUUACCAAAUCUGUUUAAGGUAGGAACUUUUAGUAGGAUAGACCACAAUUGAUAACUAAUUUGGAAAUUCAGAUGCAUGAUGACUUGCCAAGAAAUAGUUUCCGACUAGAAAAUGCAUACAGGACUAGGAGUAGGCUCCAGACUUUAAAAAGACAAAGUCGAAUUCAUAUAAUUUUAAUUAUAUGAAUGACUACGAUAUAUUACAAUGGGACCCCGAAAGACUCAAUGUAGAUAAGUGAUUCCCUUUACUUUCUAAUUGAUUGAAAGUUUCAUAGCCAAGCAUGUUCAAGGACGUGGGUUUGUUCUUGCAAUGCCAGCACCACAACCUGUUGGAAUUGGCACCUCAAAACAAGGGUUUAGAACGAAUGUGUCAUCACCACCUGGAAUCUGGCGAUUUCCACCAAUUGUGCUGCCAAAGUGGCCGCCACUGCUGCCGGUGUGAGUGCCAAUUCCGAUAAUGUGUGGAUUGUGAUGUUUGAAACCUAGUGGCAACAACACUCGUCCAAGGCCUGGAAUGAGUACGGUCAUGUUUUAGAUAUUCAGGUUGUUUCUUUUUAUCAUCAUUCUUCGAGAUGUCACG